UUACUAAAUCUAAGAGUUUCUAAGAAGCUAAAAAAUGCAUAAAAGCUAGUCCAUGCCGGAACUUCAAGGCAUCAAGACAUGAAGAGAAAGAUCCAGUCCAAGCUAGAAGCAUUAGCUCACCCUGAUAUCCGAAGUAAUGAAGACUGGCUAGAGUUACUGUUGAGUCGAAGAUGACGGCACGUUUGCUGCACUCCACAAAUAAACAAGAAGAAAACAUAAAAGUAGGGGUCAGUACAAAACAAGGGUACUGAGUAGAUAUCAUCGGCCAACUCAAAAUAGAGAUCAAUAUAUACCAAGUAAUAUCAUAAAAUCAACUAUGAUACUCAACAUGUAGCAACAGCAAGUACUAUAUCAUUAACAAUUACCAUCAAGUUCACACACGAGGACUCAAGCCUCAAUACCAUACUCAUUUGGGAAUUACGUUCAUUGGAUUGAGUAUAUUAACAUCUUUCAAGAUUCAUUAUCUUUAUUUCUCUUGUGUCGGUACGUGACACUCCGCUCCCUCAUAUUCAUUAAUCCUCUUGUGUCAGUACGUGACACUCUGAUCCCCUACUACUAUGUGUCGGAACGUGACACUCCGAUCCCCUAAAUCUACGUGUCAGUUUGUGACACCCGAUCCCCUAAAUCUACGUGUCGGUUCGUGACACCCGAUCCCCUACAUCUACGUGUCGGUUCGUGACACCCGAUCCCGUAAAUCUACGUGUCAGUUUGUGACACCCGAUCCCCUAAAUCUACGUGUCGGUUCGUGACACCCGAUCCCCUAAAUCUACAUGUCGGUUCGUGACACCCGAUCCCUAAAUCUACGUGUCGGUUCGUGACACCCAAUCCCCUAAUCUCCUUCUAUAAAUUCAUCAAGCCUUCUUUCUUACCAAGGCAUCAUCAAUCUCAUUAUUUUAGUUCAUCACGCCUUCUUUUAUACCAAGGCCUCAUCAUUAACAAAGAGAUUAGGGUUUUGCAAGAUUUGGGAUUCAAUAACUUCAUCAUGCUUAUAUAAUCACAAUUAUAUAAUUACAUCAUGCAAGCAUACAAUUAAGCACAUAGCAGGGUUUACAAUAUUAUCAAUACAUAUCAUUCGUUAUUAAGAGUUUACUAUCAAAUAGCAUAAAAAUCAUAACCUACCUCCACCGAAGAUUAGUGAUCAAUCAAGCAAAUUUUCUCCAAAGCUUUGUGCUUUCCCCUUCUCGAUCGACCCCCUCUCUCUCUUCUUGUUUUUUCUAUUUUCUUUAUUCCAACCCUCUUUCUUUUACCCUAAUUAGUAUAAUUAAGAAUAAAAGAUGGCAAUAAUAACCCACUAAUUAACUUAAGGUUACCUCUUUUAACCCCCAAGUAAUUAGACUUAUUAACAUUUACCCACUAACUUUAUAAUUAAAGCAGGAAUAGUCAAAAACGUCCCUUAAAACGUAUAAAGAAAUCCGACCCAUACUGGGAUUACGCAACCUGCGACGGCCCGUCGUGCCUGCGACGGUCCGUCCUGCAGGUCGUCGCAAGAUUCAGAGGCAAUUUCCACCAAAGAUUCUGUGACGGUCCAUCACACAUGUGACGGUCCGUCCUGCCAUUUCGUUACGAAGUUCAGAGAGUCGAUUUUCAGUACCCAAUUUCAGAUUUUCUAAGUGUUUUAAAAUGAGACCCUGCGACGGUCCGUCGUGCCCAUGACGGUCCGUCGUGGGGUCCGUCGCCUCAGCCUGUUUUUCCAGAAAUAAAAUCUGUUAUUCAAAACGACUAAACAGGUCGUUACACUAAUUGACAAUUUCAGUGAUUUAAGAAUGGAAAAAUAUCAACUUCGACCAAAUUUUAUUCAUUUAGGAAGUACCCCAUAAAUUUAACUACUUCAUCUAAUUAUAAAUCACAACGACAUAAGUCACAACGAUAUUGAGCAUAAGAGAAUGGAUGAGCAGUGCAACAAAUUCUUCUUUCUCAAAUCUUAUGAGGUUCCUCUAGAAACUCUCCAUGUAUAUUACACCGGAAAUACUAUCGACAUCUUCUGAGCCAUGGAAAACUCAUGUUGGCAAUGAAACUUGUGUUUUCUCUCAUGUAUCUACCACCUUUGAAACUUGAAAUUAUGGCAUGCACAUAUCCUGCACAAAGGUGGCAAACGUCUGUUGCUUGCUUAGGCAUUCCCAAUCCAUUUGAAUCGCCACGCUUGAAAAAAUCAUACUUAAGAAGAAAUAACACAUUUAAAAUGCAAAAUACAUUGAUAAAAAUGUGAAUACAUGCGUAAAGCAUUAAAGUUACCACGCCUUUUCUAUAUAAAGCUUCUAAAUUCACCAAUUCGAUGCAUUUUUCCAUGAAAGAAGUGCAUCUUUGAUAAAUUGAAGACAACCAUUAAAACAUUGCAAUGCUGCGCAAAUUUACCUUCCAAUAUACAGAAGGCUCAUUAGCGACUUCAUUUAGGAUCGUGGAACUGAGAAAUCAAAUCAAAUGGUCAAGAAAUCAAAUUAAAGAACGAAAAUUUAUUAAUGCAUGCAUACCUUAGUUUAAACCUCAUUAAAUCUUUGAGGGUGUAGGAAGCGACCCUUUCAACGAUAACAGCAACUAUUUCCCUCGGAAGGGAUUCAAUGUAGUUUUUUUCCCUCAUUGUCAUUUUCGAAGAUAACUUAUUCUUCCUCCCAUCUUGGAGAAAGUUAUAUUAAAAGACCUAAGUUGUAUUCUUCUUAUAAAUAUAAUAAUAUAAUUUCAAUAUAAUUAAUACGAAGAGGCAUUUCUGAAGAAUGUGAAAAGUUGCAAGUACUUAAAUUUUUUGAAAAAAGGAUAAAAUUUGAAGACUUGUAAUUAAUGAAUGUGGUUGAUGUAAUUUAUGAAAGAAGUUUCCACGGAUGACAUUUCAAGAAUGUUCAAAUGAGAACACUGUUAAAAACAUAUUUUAUAAAGAAAAAAUUCGAAAAUAAGUACAAUAUACAAAAAAAAAUACAUUUUUCACCGUAUAUUUUAAAUUUACGUACAUAUGUUACCAUAUAUUUAAUUAAUCCACACAGUGGUAUUGUAACACUUCGAAAAUACAAGAUGUAUUCUAGUGCCUAACAUAAGUGUCAUAAGGUGUAUACACUGUUUUAAGGUACAUUUUAAUGAAUAUAAGUCAUUUAGGAAGUCUAGAAACCAAAACGUCCAUGACGUCCAGAAACUAGUUCAAGGAGGUGCUAGCGUGUCUUAGCCUAUUUGACUAGCUUUUAGGAGUCAGAAAUUCAUAAAAGUUGGUGGAAGGGUGUAUAACAUGUAUUAGAGUUUAUUCAUAUUCAAAACGUCCUAGAACGACUCCCCAAGGACAAACCAAGGGCCUUGAGAAGGACCAUCGUGUUUGGGGUCAAAGAACUGCCAAGGCAGUGUGACCAACGACUUGCAGUCGACGAUCCGUAUGUCAAUCGAUGGGGCCUUCGAUUCCCUUGUUUAUUAUCACUUAGAAAUUUUCCCCGAUAUUUUUGGACCAGUCUUUGACCAAAACAAUGGACCAACAGGACGGAGGGUGUUGUGGUCGUUGUCUCACAGAGACCGUCGAUCAGGGUCUCGUCUGGUGGGGGUCUAAUUUGCUGCACAUUUUAAGUUAGUUCCAAUUAAUUAAUUAAGGUAUUAGGUCGUUAUUUAGGGGUUAAUGGAAGCCUAAUUAAUUUAAUUAACACCCCAUAUAAAGACCCAAACCCCAUUAGAAUAAUCUAAAACUCUCAUAACUCACGAACCUAAACUCUCUUCCUUCUCUCUUCUUUCUCUCUCUAGUGAAGUACACCAUUGAAUACCAAGAUAGGGGAGUGUUUAAGGGCUUCAAAUAUUCAAGUUUCACCAUCAAUAUUCAUCAAUUAAUAAGGUAUUGGAUCUAUUUCACCUUUGAGACCUCUUUCCUCAAACAGUUCCAUCAAAUUGAUCUCAAAAAUUGAGUUUUCAAGUGGGUUUCCUCCAAUCUCAAAAUUGAUGUUAUGAAUUGAAUUUUUUAUGAUUUAUUGUGGAUAUUAUAAAUAUAGUAACAUGUAUUCUAACUUAAUUAUGAUAUAUCUUGAUGGUUUGGUCCAGUUUAUAGAAGAUGACCUUUACUCCUUAAGCCUAAGUUGUGAUCUUGAUAUGAAUUAUAUUGUAUUGGUUCAAUUAAAUUUGUUAUUGGUUGAAUUACUAUUAGAUGAUAUUGUUGUAUAAAUUAUGAAUAAUUAGUAUGAAUUAUAGUCCUAUAAUGCUAGUUCUUGAGAAGUUGAUGUAGGUUAUAAAGUAUGUUAUGAAUUGACCUAAGUAUCUUGUCUUAAGUUAUGAACUAGUAUUAAAUUGUGAUUUAGUGAUUCUUUUAGCCUUGUUACCAUGUUGGUCAUUGAAUUAUAAUGAUGUUAUAUCCUAAGUGGGUUGAUUUAAGGGUUUAUGGUAAGACCUUGAUGAUGGAUUAUAAAGGAGACUUGGUAAGUCCUGUGAUCCCUGUUCUUUACUUAAAAUUAUGGUUAAUUGUGAUUAAGUCAUGAUGUUGUAUUGGAGUAUGACUUGUAUUAGGAUUGAUAGGGUGGUAUGAUAUUUAAUUGAAAUGUAUUGACAAUUAUUUGUGAGGUGUUAGCUUAAGAUGUAAAUGUUUAUGAUAUGAAAAUGUUAAUGUGCUAAUCUCACCUAUAUGAAUUGUAAUGAAAGGACAAUAAUUAUGCAAUUCUUAUUGAGCUAUGAUGAUGAUGAUGUUUAUACAAGGGUUAGACCAUAUGACCCACAAUAAGCUAUGAUGAAUAUUAAAGACAUUAAAGACAUUUCAAAAAGGGACUCUAGAUUAGAACCAAGUGAACUAGAGCGACGAGUGAACCUUUCCACAUAUAAAAGGUAGGAUCACUAAUGUACUCUUUAUAUUGGAGACUAUAAUGCAUAUACCAUAAAGAGGGUCCUAACUAUAUCUCCUAGUUCUUGAACUAUGUCGCCCCCAUAAGAAUACUAGCUAGUAAAUCCACGUAGGUGCUAUGUUUAUAUUGUGGUACUACCUUGGCAAGUAGUUCUCCUUUUUUCAGUGUAGGGUUCCAUGACACCGGAUUCCACAUUAGCUCAUGUGGUCUAUGUCGAUUACGGCAAGAUGUUCCCAAAAUGUAAGACAAACUAAAGGAUCGAACUCUAACUAAUAUGACCUAAGGGGUUUAGCUUAGUCUAGGUAGGGGUAUGGGAUAGGGAUACAAAAAGGGAAAGGUCCUUUGAGGGUGGAGCAACAAAGAAUACGCUUGAGAUUCAAGACAAGCCUAGAUUAAAGAAGAGAUUCUCAAAUUAUGUUCCAUCCAAAUUUUCUAAGGCUAGUGAUGAAAAGGCCCCUAGGCAAAAAUUCCAAAAGGGGAAGAAUGAGAGUUUGUCAAUUGAUAAACCAUCUUAUAAUGAAUGUGGAAAGCAUUUUGGUUCUUGCCUCCUUGGGUCACACAAAUGCUUUGGUUGUGAAAAGGUUGGGCACAAGGUGAGAGACUGUCCUAAUACUAAGGGGCAAGAGAAGGUUGGAUAGCCAAGUGGUUCUGGUGAUGAUCCAAAGAAGAACCGCUUCCAUGCUCUUCGUUCUAUGGGUGAGCAAGAGAUCUCUCCAGAAGUGGUGACCGGUAUGUUAAAAAUAUUUACUCUUGAUGUGUAUGCUUUACUUGAUCAGGGUGCUACUUUGUCCUUUGUUACACCUAUAGUAGCUACAAAAAAAAUUGAUGCUUUAACCGAUAUUUUGCAUGAGUCUUUUCUAAUGUCUACUCUGGUGGGAGAGUCGGUUGUUGCUAAAAGAGUCUAUCAUAAUUGUCUUAUUUCAUUGACCAAUAGAGUUUCUUAUGUGGAUCUAGUAAAACUCGAUAUGCUUGAUUUUGAUAUUAUAUUGGGUAUGGAUUGGUUACAUGCAUUUGUAUCCAUUGAUUGUAGGACAAGAGUGGUGAGGUUUAACUUCCCAAAUGAACAUGUUGUUUAGUGGAAGGGGGGAUUCUAUUCCUAGAUCUCGCAUCAUAUCUUGUCUAAAAGCAUAUAAAAUGAUCUCAAAGGGUUGUCUAUCACAUGAUAAGAGUCCAAGAUUUGAAUUCUAAAAUUCCUCCUAUUGAGUCGGACCCCGUAGUGAGUGAGUUUCUGGAGGUGUUUCCUAAUGACCUUCCCGGUAUUCCUCCCUAGUGGGAAUUAAUUUUGGUAUAGAUUUGCUAGCAGAAACAAAUCCCUUUUCGAUCCCUCCAUAUCGAAUGGCUCCGACCGAAUUGAAGGAUUUGAAGGCUCAACUCAAAGAUUUGCUUGACAAAGGCUUUAUAAGGCGUGGUAUAUCUCCAUGGGGUGCUCCGGUGUUAUUUUUCAAAAAUAGGUAUGAGUCUUUGAGAAUGUGUAUUAAUUAGUGUCAACUCAACAGGGUCACCAUUAAAAAUAAAUACCCUCUCCCUUGGAUUGAUGACUUAUUUGACCAACUCCAAGGGGCGAGUUACUUUUCAAAGAUAUACUUGAGGUCGGGGUAUCAUCAACUUAGGGUGAGAGGGAAGGAUAUACCAAAAACGACCUUUCGUACUAGGUAUGGGCAUUAUGAGUUCUUGGUCAUGUCUUUUGGUCUCACAAUACUCCGGCGGCAUUUAUGGACCUAAUGAAUAGAGUAUUUCAAAAUUACCUAGAUUCGUUUGUCAUUGUCUUCAUUAACGAUAUUUUUGUAUAUUCGAAGAAUGAGGAUGAUCAUAUGGGUCAUUUGAGGGUAGUAUUGCAAACCCUUAAAGAACAUCAAUUGUAUGCCAAAUAUAGUAAGUGUGAGUUUUGGUUGAGAUCGAUGACUUUUCUUAGGCACAUCAUUUCUUGUGAGGGAGUUGAAGUAGACCUAAGUAAAACGAAAGCGGUGAAAAAUUAGCCUAAACCUUUAACUCCGUCUGACAUUAGGAGUUUCUGGGUUUAGUGGGUUACUAUCGGAGGUUCAUGGAUGGUUUCGUGUCCAUUGCGUCUCCUUUGACUACUUUGACCCAAAAGAGAAAAGUUUGAGUGGUCAGAGGCAUGUGAGAAGAGCUUCCAAUUGUUGAAAGAUAGGCUUAUUUCUACUUUGUGUUGAACUUAAUAAAGGGUACAAAGGGUUUUGUGGUAUAUUAUGACGCAUCUCGAGUAGGUUUUGGGUGUGUACUUAUGCAACACGGGAAGGUGAUAGCUUAUGCCUCUAGGAAACUGAAGGUACAUAAGAGAAAUUAUCCCACUCAUGACCUUGAAUUAGCGGUCAUGUUGUUUGCUUUGAAAAUUUUGGAGGCAUUACUUGUAUGGGGUUCAUGUUGAUGUUUUUACCUAUCAUAAGAGUCUCCAAUAUGUGUUCACCCAAAAGGAUUUGAAUAUCCAACCAAGAAAGUGGCUUGAGUUGUUGAAAGAUUAUGAUAUGAGUUUCCUUUAUCACCCCAGCAAGGCUAAUGUAGUGUUGGAUGCCCUAAGUCGGAUGACUAUGGGUAGUGUAUCUCAUCUUGAUGAAGACAAAAAGGACCUAGCAAGGGAUGUACAUAUGUAGGCUAGGUUGGGGGUGAGGUUGGAGAGUUCUCCGGAGCGACGGCCAUAGUUCAUCAUGACUCCGAGUCAUUUUAGUGGUUGAGGUGAAGUCCAAACAACACUUUGACUUAGUCUUAAUGGAGUUGAAAGAAUCGGUUCUUGGCAACUUAAAUGAAUCAUUCUCCUUAGGGGGAUGGUGUGUUAAGGUACCAAGGGAGACUAAGCGCUCCCGAUGAAGAUGGGUUAAGGGAUCGAAUCUUAGAAGAAGCACAUGGGUCCCACUACUCAAUUCAUCCGUGUCGACAAAAAUGUACCAUGACCUAAGGGAAAUAUAUUAGUAGGAUGGUCUAAAAAGGGACAUAGCGGAAUUUGUCGCUAAAUGUCCAAAUUGCCAACAAGUAAAGGCCGAACACCAAAAGUCAGGUGGCUUACUACAAGAGAUCUGAAUUCCUACUUGGAAGUUGGAAUACAUCAAUAUGGACUUUGUAGUAAGUCUACCUCGGACUCAAAAGUCAUAUGAUUCCAUAUGGGUGAUUGCGGAUUGAUUGACUAAGUCCGCUCGCUUUAUUCCCGUCAAGUCUACAUAUUUGGCGUAAUAUUAUGCAAGCAUCUUCCUAGAUGAGAUAUUGUGUCGUCAUGGCAUUCUAUUAUCCAUCGUAUCGGAUCGGGGCGCACAAUUCACAUCUAGAUUUUAGAGGUAAUUUCGAAAAUUGUUGGGUACUACGAUGAAGUUGAGAACCAUUUUUCAUCCCCAAAUGGAUGGUCAACAAAGCAUACUAUACAAACCCUUGAAGAUAUGCUUAGGGUGUGCAUUAUUGAUUUUAAAGGGAAUUGGGAUAAACAUUUACCUUUGGUGGAGUUUGCCUAUAAUAAUAGUUUUCAUUCAUCCAUUUCCAUGGUUCCCUAUAAAGCCUUGUAUGGUAGGAGGUGUAGGUAUCCUUUUGGAUAGUUUGAAGUGGGUGAGCCAUUACUUCUUGGUCCCGAGUUUAUUUAUAAGACUUUGGAAAAGGUUUAUAUCAUAAGGAACCGGUUGCAAAUGGCCUAUAGUCAGCAAAAUUCUUAUGCCGAUCAUAGGAAAAGGGAUUUGGAGUUUGAAGAAGGUUAUAAGGUGUAUUUGAAAAUUUCACCAAUGAAAGGGGUGGUUAGAUUUGGAAAGAAAAAAGGAAGUUGAGUCCUCAUUAAGUGGGUCCCUAUGAAAUCUUGCAAAGAGUUGGUUAGGUUGCCUAUGAAUUGAAACUUCCUAGUGAAUUGGCUUCGGUUCAUCUAGUUUUCCAUGUCUAUAUGUUGAAGAAGUGUAUUGGUAAUCCCGAGUCCAUUCUUCCUAUUAAGGGUCUUGGUGUCAAGGAUAACCUCUCUUAUGAGGAAGUUCUGGUUCAAAUUCUUGAUAGGCACGUCAAGAAGUUUAGGAAUAAAGAGUUGUAUCUAAAAAGUGUUACGAAGAAAUCAAUUAGUUGAGGGUGCUAUAUGGGAGGCCAAGGCCGAUAUGAAGUCCUGUUAUCCUCAUCUUUUUGAGAUUUAAGUUUAGCCAUUUUUUUUAAUUAUACAAUUAUGAGAAGGAUAUGUGGUUUCUUGAUUUUUGGGUGAAGUUCUCCACAUUAGGCAUUUUUGAAAGAACUUACAGUGAAGUUAUUGUAGUGUUGCUAUUUAAAACUUGAAAUUUUGGUUUUUGCUUGUUUUGAGUUAUGUUUUAUUUUAAUAUGAUGAGUCUUCAUGAAAUGAUAGGUAGCAUAUUGUUAAGUUGAACGUUGUGCUGGAUUGACUCAUGUAAUGUAUGUUGAGCCCAGAAGUGUUGUGAGAGGGAAAUGCCUCAUGAUGAAUGUUUUGAGCCUUAUGUGUAGUAAUAUGAGUUUUGAUAUUUGCCUUGUUGAAAUGACAUGAUUUGUGUAGAUUUGAUAUUGAUGUUUUGUUGGGCUGCUAGUCUUGGGUCUAUUCUUUCCUUCAAAAGAAUUUUAGUGUCAUUCAGGGACGAAUGUUCCUAGAGGGGGAUAACGUAACACCUUGAAAAUCCAAGACUCAUUGUAAAGCCUAACAUAGGUGUCAUAAAGUCUAAACAUUUUUUCUAAGUCCAUUUUUAAUGAAUAUAGGUAAUUUAGGAGAUUUAAGAACCAAAACAUCCGGGAAGUUGGUUCAAAGGGAUGAUAGUAUGUCUAAGCCUACUUGACUAAGUUUUAGGAGUCAAAAUUCUACGGAUGUUGGUGGAAAGGUAGAUAAUAUGUGUUUGAGAUGUUUCAUGGUUGAAAUGUCUGAGCACGACUUUCUUAGGUCUAACCAAGGGCCCUCGAAGAGGACCCCUGCAGUUUGAUGCAGCACUGCCUGGUAGUGUGCACCGACGGGACAGACGACGGCCUGUGGAUCGAAGGGGCGUUGAUGCUACUGUCGUCCCACAUUUAGACUAGUGGAGAAGGUCCCUUCACCUGCACAGUUUUUGCGAUCAUCGACAGAAUGCAGAGGUGCAGGCUACGGUCCGUGUGUGGAUCGAUGGGGUGUCGAUGCCACUGUCGUCCCACACUUAGAAAAUUGAAGAAAAGCCUUGCCUGCACCAGUCUCUAACCGGACUUACGGAUGUGCAUCACAGACCGUCCGUGAACCAUGGUUCGUCGAUCGAGGUCUAAUCGAUGGGGUCUGCAAAUUCCUGCACGUUUUAAAUUAAGUUCAUUUAAUUAAUUAAGUGGUUUAGGGGUAAUUGGGUAUUAAAGGAAGACUAAUUAAGUUGAUUUAGUCCCACUAUAAAUACCCUCAACCCUCAUAACCAAAAGAUAACUCUCAAAAUAAAAUCUAGUCAUUCUCUCUUCUUUCUCUCUCUAAUUGGAUGACUCCAUAGAAGCUUAGCUUGGAAGGUGAAUUGGGGGAUGUAAAAUGGUGGAUUCUUCAUAAAAUUGUUGAGAAACAUUAAGGUAUGGGUUCUAUUCACCUUUGAGAUCCUUUCCUCAAAGGGUUCCUUCAAAAGAGAUUUCAAAAAGUUGAGUUUUCUUAUGGGUUUCAUUCAAUUACAAAAUUGAAGUGAAUUGAGUUACUAAUGAAUUCUUAGGGUUAUGUUGAGUAGAUUUACAUGUAAUUUAACUUGUUUUUGAUAGUUGUUUAUGGUUUGGUCUAAAUUGAAGAAUAUGAUCCUCUAUUCUUAACCCUAGGUAAUGAUCUUGACCUAUAUUAUAUUGUGAUCAUUCAGUUGAGUUGGUUGUUGAUUGGAUUACUAUCCUAUAGUACUAUUAUGAUUAAAUUAAGAUGAACUAUAGGUCUAUCAUGCUAGUUCUUAAUAUGUGAUUUAGGUUAUGAAUUAUAAUGUGAAAUUAGUUUAUGUACCUUGUCUCACGGUGUGAUCUAAAGAUGACUUGUGUUAUAGAGAUGCAAUUGGCCUUGUUAUCUUAUUGGUUAUCAUGGUGUGAUGGUGUUACUCCCCCAAGUUGGGUUGAGUUAUCGGUUGAUGGUAAGACCUUGAUGAUAGACUAUGAGGAAUACUUGGUAAGUCUUAGAAUCUCUAUCUUUACUUCCAAUUGUGAUUAAUUAUUAUUAAAUCAUGAUAUUACAUUUGGAGUAUGCCUUGUACUAGGAUUAUACGGUGGUAUAUGUUGAAUUGAAAUGUCUUGACUAAGUUGUGAGGUUGAUCAAGGUGUAUGUGGUAUAAGGAUGGUGAACACUAUCAAUUUGUCAUAAUAUGUUAUGAAAUGCUAAAGUGUUAACCUCACUUAUAUGAAUUGUGAUGAAAGGACUUAUAUUCAUACAAUUCUUAUUGAGCUAUUAAUGAUGAUUAUUAUACAAGGGGUAUACCCUACAAUUCAAACUAAGUUAUGUUGUUAAUGAACACUCAAAGACAUUUCAAUAAAGGGAUCUAGCUUAGCACUGAGUGAUCUUGUAGGUGAUGGAGUGACACUUUCCUAAGUAGGGAAGGUAGGGUUCACUACAGUCUUCACGUAGUGGAUAGCCUCAUGACCCAAUAUAGGGUGUAGAGUUGAUAUUUCCAUGGUCCCCCAAGCUCCAUAAACUAUGUUGCCAUCAUAGGAUACUAUCUAGUGGAUCCACCUAGAAACCUAUGUUUAUAUUAGGUUUUACCUUGGCCGGUAGACCACUUUCCAUCGGUGUAAGGUCUUAUGACACCGUAUUCCACAUUUAGCUCAUGUGGUCUAUGUCGGUUAAAGCGAAUGUUCGCUAAACUAAAAUGAAAAAAUGAAGCAUAGACUAACUAAAGUGAAUUGAGGGGUUUGACUUAGCCUAGGUAGGGGUAUGAGAAUCUACCUAUGCCUUGCACUAGUUUACCUUGAUGGGAUCUUUGGGAAGUUAAUAUUAUGAACAUGCAAAAGGUCUUUAAUGGUUUUGAUUACUAAAUAUAUGAAUUUAUGAAUCUAAGAGGUUAUAUUGUGUGAAGUAUGAUACUAAUGAUAGUUCUUAUUAGGUGACUUGAUUAAGUAGGGUUAUGGGGCUUUUCUUGGUCAUUGCACUUGUGGACCCUAUGGGAAUUUCUGAUUUGUUACAUUACUUUGAUAUUUAUGUGAUUACUUUUAAUCAUGCUUGUAAUAAUAUUACUUGGUGAUAGAGUAUACGAUAUUAUGGGUUCAAGCGUCUUGAUAUACAUUUGACUUCCUUAACUAUUGGUUGUGCAUAAGUUCUUAAAGGAGUAAAAUGACAUGAAUUGACUAAAAGCCCCUUUUUGUAUCUUUUGCUUGUGUAUGUGCAUAAGAUCUCAUACUUAGUACAUGUGUAGUACUAACCCCAAUUUCUUCCCUUUUCCCCAAACAUUUUAUGUUUCGGUCAUUUGGGAUGCAUCAUUGUUGAAGGCUUGGAUUCUUCAUUUCGUCCAAGUAGGGUAGGUCCUCAACUCUCGAGGGCAAUGUCAUCCUCUAGCUUUGAAUUUUGUUAUGAGCUUAUAGACUCUAGUAUUCCCUUCCUUGUUAUUUGAAUAUUGUACUUUUGUACAACCUAUACAUGGUCUUAUUGAAUUGAUGUAAGGGCUAUGCCCACAUUGUGAUAUUCAUUUAGAUGGUAUGAGAUAAGACAAUCAUUGACUUUAUUCCAUGUUCUCUUAUAUGUGUGAUACGCUCAAACUUACUUCUCGAAUAAGAAGUAAAGCGGUCGUGUCAAGUAAAUAACCCAACUAGUGAGGUUGGAAUCGUUCCCACGAGGAAAAUAGUUUAGACUUAACUUCAAUUUAUUACUACUAUUGUUCAGUCAAUUACUUCCUUGGAAAGCAAAAAUGAUAAAAAAAAAAAGGUUUCUAUUCAUAAAUAAAUUAAAAUAACUAGCGAAAUUAAAGGAGACAACUAACAUCUUCGAAUGUUGGAGUUAAAUCAAUUAAUCAAAGUAACUAAGGUUUACAUGUUCUCCGCGGGUUCAUCACUUGAUAAGUCUAACUAUAACAAUUCUUUCCUAGUAUCUUGCAUGCAAAGUGAUAAGUUAUGUAUUUCUAAAUCCUUGGUCCAGCAUCUAGAAAAUUUCACUCCGCACCUUGGUCUGGCUACGUGUGUUGCUACCCUAGCCCUUAUCUUUACCUCAUAUUAAGCAUCGUAUUCGAUAUUUGACUAAGCUAUUACCUCGUACCAAUCAAUACUAGCCUAUUAGAUAGUAUACACUAAAUCUAUGUUGAUAAUUCUUUUCCUAUUAUCUAUCUCCUUGGUCCGGCAACUAGCAUUAAGGCUAGUUCUAACGUUGGCCAUCCGUUAAAAAGACUUAUGAAUGAAAGAAUUAUCAAUACAUGCAAGACACUAUUCUAGAAUUGUUAUUUUAGUUAGGUUUUACCUCAUUAUUAGCCUAUGGUUCCCACAACCCUAGUUAUAGAGUUUAGUUAUCCAUAGUCAUAAUUACAAUAUUCAAAUAUGUGAUAUAAGAAUUCAUGCACUUACUUCGAUGAGAAAGAGUAAAAUCCAAAAGUUCACUUGAUUAAUCAGCAAAAGUUACCAACAAUCGAUGAUAAAAGUCUCAAGAUAAUCAAUACUCUCUCAAAGAGUCUACAAAAUAAUCAAGAGUCUCCCAAUAUUCAAAGAUCUAAAAAUGAUCAAGAGUCUAACCUCAAAAAUGAGGUUUUUCGAACUAUUUAUAGAAAAUAAAAACCUAAUUAAACAAGGACUCUAUUUGCUGGAAAUCUGUCAAAAAAGUGGUUGGAUCGACUGACAUCGCGACGGAUCGUCGUGGUCACGACGGACCGUCAUGAACUCUGUCGUCCCAUACUUGAUGAAAUUUCUUCUGCUACUCUCUUCAUUACCCUCGACGGCAUGUAUGACGGAUCGUUACGAGCACGACGUUCCGUCGAGGGUCUCCGUUCCAAAACACUUGAACUCUUGGAAUAUGGGUACUGGGGCUACUGCUCUGAUCUUCAUGACAAACCUGCAGGACGGACCGUCAUGACUACGACGGUCCGUCACAUUUUCCGUAACCCCACACUUGGUCAGACUUCCCCAUCUUCCUUCAGCAACUGCACUACGCUGCAACCUACGGACCGUCACAAUCAUGAAAGGACUGUCACAAGCUCCGUAGGUGGUCUCUUCUGCAUUUCUUCGCUCAAAAACCUCCGCAUUCAUCUUUGGACAGAUUUCCUGCAAAUAAGGAGAAACUUAUAUAAAAAUUAGCACAAAAAGGCUUUUGGACACACUAAACUUAAGGAAAAAGUAAUACCGUGAAACCACGGUAUAUCAACACCCUCAACUUAAAUUCGUUGUUUGUCCUCAAGCGACGCACUAUGACUCAAUACACAAUCUUUGUACAAUAGUAUCCAUGUUUUAUCCUUUGCAAAUAUUUGGCUAUCAAUCCCGAUUAAUCUUAUCAUAUUUAGGCAUGCUAUCACAAUUAGGCUUGAAUUAUGUGGAAUCAGACCAUGACACAGACUCACCAAGCACUAACACCUAUCCUCUUCAAUUUCUCACCGAGGUGCUAAUAUUUUCGGUAAUGCAACUAGUGUCCUCACUUCAAAACAAAAUCCUCAUUUCUCACACAAUGAUUUCAGUUUGAGUAUAAGGAUUACUUUUCAACACUCACUCUCAGAACAAAUUCACACUCAUUCAUACGUAUUGCCAUAAGCUUGCCCUUUUUUCACUGUUUUAAGUUCGCUAUACAACCCUUAGGAUCACGAUAGGACUUUCUUAGCUUGUAACAUACGCUCAGGGUCAGGUAGGGUAUAUUUAGGUAUACUUUAGUGACUUUUUUCCCUCCUUGACAUAUCAGCUAAACAUGCCAUUUUCUAUCAUUUUAUUUUUCCCAGUUUCCCACAUUCUUUCACCUUGCUAUUUUCCCUUUUUCUUCAUUUGUGUAACUGACUCUCUUCUUUUCUUGCUUGUAUAUUUUUUAUUUUUUAUUUUCAUUUUUACUUUUCUUUCAUCUAAUUUUUGAGUCACUUUACUUUUGUUCUUUCUCUCUCUUUAUUCUUUCAACCCCACUUUCUAGAGCAUUCCUCAUAAUAGUCACCCUCAACUCAUGGCUUUGCCAUGAGUCAAAGUACACAAUACCCAAAGUUGGGUUAGGGCCAUAAAAAGGUUGUUUACUGCAUUAGCCACCCUCAACUUAUGCUUUUGGCAUAAGCUGAGGUGCACAUGUCCAAAGAGGGACCAGGGCCAACACAUUAUUCCCUGAAAAGAUCAGUUGGGGUGAGAAAGAAAGGUCUAAUUUAAUCUCAAAUCAUUUGGAUCAAAGAAGGAUAAAUUUCAUUUGGUUUUCUUUUAUUUAGGCUAAAAAAUGGGCUAUAUUGAAUAAUGGCCUAUGAUCCUUUCCUAAUUGUCUAUUACAGCUUACUUUUAGCAGGACUAACCAGGCAAGUUCUAGCUCAGUACAAAUAGUGGACUAUUAAAAUCUUCCUCACACUCACUUGACAUCUCAUCACUCUACCAGAUUAUCAGACACCUAGUUUGAAUUUUAGACUUAGGGUCAUGUAGUUGUGUACCUCUAUGUCAUGCUUAGAGCCACAUAUUUAUCAAUUACUAUGCCUAGUCAUGAAUCAUUUUCAAUUUUAUCAGGAUAUCAUUUUAGUCAUCAUGCUCCAGAAUUAAACUAUGUACACAAGAUAUAGACAUGCCGGUUCAAGGGAAAAAGUAAUCAGUCUUUCGGGGGAAAAGAACACAAGCAAGAAAACCCCAAAAGAGGAUAGUGAAUUGGGCUACUCAGACUUCACCCUAGCACUCACUUUCCAUUUACCCCACCCCCAACAAAAGACAUGCAAUUGUCCCCAAUGCAUUAAAAAAAUUUAAAUACUAAAGUGGUAGGUGAAGCAAACCUGGGGCGCAAAGCGCCGACGAUCAGCAAGCUGGUGGGUCCGGUUCCUCGGAACCCACUACCUCUGUAAUCUGGACACCCUCAGUGGUGUCCUCAGCAUCAACAGCACUAUCAGCAGCGCCUCCCGCCAUCUCCACAGUUCUGGAGCUAGACGCCCCAGCAGCUAACUUUUCUGCUCUCAUCUGACGCGCCUCUUCGUCAGCAAGUGAGGCUCUCCUCGCAGCCUCCAUCUCACGACACUCCUUCUUUCGUGCUCGCGUCUCAUCCUCCGUUCGAACCCUGCACCUCUUAGCAUGCUCUCGAGGGGGAGGUGGUAGAAUCUCUGAAGUAGCGAAUAGGGCCACCAUCACUGUGUCUUCAGCAGGCUAUACAGAAGGGGCCUCAGACUCAGGCACCCUAGCCUCUAAGAUCAUAGCAAUAUCUGCGCGAAGACUGUAGACCGAAGCUUGAAGGGUCGACACAUCCCCCGGAGGGGCUGUACGGGCUAGCACUCGCAACUCAAAGGCGUCCAAGCACUGAUGAACCUCAACGAUCUUCCGCUCUGUGUGCUGGACAAUUCUCCACUCCAAGCGCUCUUCUACCUCGGUAAUAGACCUCUGCAUCCAAGGCUGGAUAUGAUGCAGAAGUAUAGCCAUUUGCACCUCUAAUUUCUGGACCCUAGUAAGCAGGACCAGAGAGGGUAAAGAGGGUGAGAGAGAGGAGUCGUCUGUGUAGCCGUGCGGGCUUGUGCUACCGUAUCAGCCAGAUUGUCACCAAGUGGAGGCAGCUCUGGACAGGGCCCUCUUCGUGGAGCCAACUCACUGGCCUCAUCUCUGAUGAGGCCGACAUCAACAGUGCCCAGAGGGGUCUUGAGCUGAUCAACGUGCCAUAUAGACACACCUACGAAUCUGCAUAGAGAAAAUAUCAUGCACGGGAAAGGGUAAGUAGUUGUGACCUUAAAAGCCCUCUCGGUCAUGACUGCUUGUAGAAGCCACGCAAAAUCCACCUCGAACCCGGCUAUCAUUGUCGCCAUCACUACUGCUCGAUUCCAUAUGACGAUAUUAUCAGCGGCUGUAGGGGAAAGGCAGUGGCGUACAAUCAACCACAAAAACUUUGCCGUGAAAGUCAGGUUGGCCUUUUUGAUUACCCCUUCGGCUCAGUCACCCAGUCGGCACCCUCUCCAUCAACGGACAAGUGCAGGGCCAUCCACCUCUUGGUGGUCUCUCUCAGCAAUGGCUCACGCAGAAAUUGACCAUCUUUGAAAAUCUGCCAUCGGUACUGAAACUCGGCAGUGAGAGGGGUCCAAUUAGCAUCAACAUUCUCGCAGUAUAGAAACCGGCAGAUAGCAGGCAGGAAGAUAUCAACCAGAACGCCACGUACUCGGACCUGCUCUAGUAAAGCCUUUUUGGCGAGGGCAGCCCACCUAUCAAUAUGCGAUUGGAGAGUCGCUACAUAGGAUGUGUAGAACUCUCGGACCAGCUCUUCACUAUAACGUCCCAACGGAUGUCCAGUCCACUCCAAUCGAUGUCUAGUGAAGAUAUUGUGGAUCUCAGGCAUCGUCGGGAGACUUUUCGUUAGGACCCGACACUCCAAUGUAAGUGUCCGAGUCAUAACUCCUUUGUCAUUCAGGAACUUUGCAUCGGAAUAGACUUGAAGCUGCCCAUCGACACACCAUAGGUUGUGCUGGUCAGUAACCAGGGUGAGAGCACGAGCUGGUGAACCAGGUGUGGAUUCCGAACUGUCAGCCUCAUCAAACGAGGCCGACGCUGCAGCGGUGGCAGGUGCAGGAACCUAAGAAGAUCUAGAGGCUUCCUCCGACCACAAAACUCCUAAGGAGACACACGCUCCUUCUUCAUUAGUGGCUGACCCAGAUGGUGUGUCGGUCAGUGUGCGCUCCUCAUCAGACUGGGAGGCAGUGACUACGCCGGAUGCCACCUUAUUGGGUGUGGCUCUGGUAGCACGUGCAGCACGAGAUGGGGUGGAAGUGCCUGGGGGCACAUACUCGGGGUCACGCUCAUCAUCAAAGUCAAUGACCAGGCGGGCAGACGGGGCAACAAACUUCGAUCGCCCGCGUGCAUAAACUCGAUCUUGUUUUGGUGCCAUAAUAGAUGGUACCUAUAAAGGAUCAAUAUUAGUUCUACAAGGAGCAAACAAGACAAGCAAAACCACACAAAAUAAAUUUAAAAAAUUUAAAAUAAAAUGACAUUGCUAUAGUAAUCAGUGAAACACAACGGACCAAGUGACGGUUCUUCGUGAGUAUGACCGACCUUCAUAGGGUCCGUCGUGUCUUACUUAGACUCUGUUUAUAUGGAGAACCCUGAAGGAGAGUCUCUUACAAGUAUGACAGUAUGUGCAGGAUGGACAAUCACAGGUACGACGGUCCGUCGUAGGUGUCCGUCAAAGGACACUUGGAAAAAAAAUAUAGAGUCCCUUAGGAGAGGGGUCUCUGACCAUCGAAAGGUCAUGCUGGACGGACCGUCACAGGUACAACGGUCCGUCGUAGGUGUCCGUCAGAGGACACUUGAAAGAAAUAUGGAGACCCUAGGAGAGGGGUCUCUGACUAUCAUGACGGUCAUGCAGGACGGAUCGUCGGGGGUAUGACGCUCCAUCGUAGUUGUCCGUUUAAGGACACUUAGAAAAAUAGAGAGAGACCUUUAGGAAAAGGGUCUCUGACAACCAGAACGGUUGUGCAGGACGGACCGUCGUAGGUAUGACGGUCCGUCGCAUGUGUCCGUUGAAGGACACUUAGAAAAAGUGAGAGACCCUUAAGAAUAGGGUCUUUGACAACCAGAACAGUUGUGCAGGACGGACCGUCGCGGGAACAACAGUCCGUCGCAUGUGGUCGUUGGUGGACACUUGCAGAAAAAUUGGACAGUGGAGCAUUAGGGCGAUUGGAACAGACCCAAUGACAGUCUCGUGAAUACGCCGGUCCGUUAUCGGGGUGUCGUUCUGUAACUCAGUGACCGAACUGGAGAUGCUCUAUUCAUCCCCUAUGACCCAAAUCGAAUUGGUAGUGUUUUGACCUACAUUUGUCUAACCCAAAUACCUAGUAAACUAGCAAUGCUAUGGCACUUAUUUCUAGGGUUUUAGCACAGCAAUUUCGGGAAUUUUAUUAACCUAGGUCAGACAAAAUUUUAUAAAGAAUGAACGUAUCAAGAAGAACUAGACUACUACUAAUUGAUAAACAAAAAUGCAAUAUAAAUGAGUAGAAAUUAGAGACACAUGCCUGAGAAUUUGAGAAAAACAAGAGGAAAAGGUACUUGAUGAUCAACUAGACACCCACAGAAGCAGCUCUUCGACUAGUAAAUGAUGGCUUUUAGGAUUUUGGAAAAUAUGGGGAAAAUGAUCGGUGGAAGAGAGAGAUGGUUUUGGAUGAAAAGGGAGGGAAAUAGGAGGAAGAGUGCAGGAAUGGGGUGAAAUGAAGGGUUGGGGGUUUUAAAUGUCGAAUUUUUUUUAAAAAAAACCCCAGUCGGGUCGGGUCAGGUAUGCCUCAUUAAGGACGCGACCAUUCCACGACAACGGUCCGUCUUAUAUGUGACGAUCCAUCGUUGGUUCCGUCACGUGUGCCCUAGUUUGAAAGUAACAGAAAGAUGUACCUGGCAUGACAGAUUCAUGCGACGGUCCGUCACAGUUGAAACGGUCUGACGCUGUAUCCGUCAGCGACUGCAGAGUAUUCUGUAGAAUUUCCUAGUGAUGUGCCUGCAAAUUAAAAACCCAUUAGUAAAAAAUGCUACCAUUACUAGAAAGAAAAACUAUAAGUAUUGGGUUGCCUCCCAACAAGCGCCUGAUUUAACGUCGCGGCACAACUGAGGACACUUGAUUACUCAGACUUCAUCAAAAUGGUAUGCCUCUAUCAUUUCAUUCGCCGAUUCAGCAUGCUCGAGAUAGAUUUUUAUGUGUUGUCCAUUCACCUUGAACCGCACACCCUCCUUAGUUUCCAACUCAACUGCUCCAUGAGGGAAUAGUUGGGUAACUAAGUAAGGACCAGUCCAUUUGGGCUUGAGCUAUCCCAGAAACAAGCGCAACCUAGAAUUGAAUAAAAGCACCAAAUCCCCGACCAUAAACUCUCGUUUUUAAAUUUUUUUGUCAUGGUACUUCUUCAUCUUUUCUUUGUACAGGGCUGAGCUUUCAUAAUCUUUCAGGCGAAAUUCAUCGAGUUCAUUCAACCGAGUUAACCAUUGUUCCGCAGCUUCGCUCCAAUCCAUUUUCAACUUCUUCAUAGCCUACAUGGCUUUAUGCUCUAACUCAACCGGAAGAUGAAAAGAUUUCCCAUAUACAAGUUGGUAUGGAGACAUACCUAUGGGAGUCUUAUACGCUGUCCAGUAGGCCCAAAGGGAAUCAUCAAGCUUCCUUGACCAAUCCGUUCUACUAGCAUUCACUGUUUUUGACAAUAUCUGUUUCAUCUCCUGAUUCGACACUUCAACUUGCCCACUAGUUUGAGGGUGGUAAGGAGUGGCCACAUUAUGGCGAACCCCAUAUUUCUCUAAUAACCCCUUGAACAAUCUGUUGCAGAAGCGGGAGCCCCCAUCACUACUAAUUGCCCUUGGGGUGCCAAAACAAGAGAAUAUAUUCUUUUUUAAGAAUGCAAUGACACUCUUCCCUUCAUUGUUUGCAAGGGUGAUGGCUUCGAACCAUUUAGAUACAUAAUCAACCGCAACUAGAAUGUACUUCAUUCCAUGAGAACUCACAAAAGGGCCCAAAAAGUCAAUACCCCAAACAUCAAAUAACUCAAUCACAAGAAUAGGGUUUAGAGGGAGCUCUUGCUUUCUUGAAAUGCCACCAUCUCGUUGGCAUCGAUCACAUGCUUUAGCAAACUCAUGAGCAUCUUGAUGAAGAUUUGGCCAAUAGUAACCACAUUUUAAUAUCUUAUGAGCGGUUCGGAUACCGUUGUGAUGUCCACCAACGGGUGAGGAAUGGCAUGCUUCCAACACACUCAACAUCUCACAUUCUGGAACACAAUGCCGAAUAAGCCCAUCGGCACAACUCAUAUAUAAGUACGGUUCAUCCCAAAAGAACUUCUUCACAUCGUACAUGAACUCUUUUCUUUGAUGAAAGGAUAAUUCCGAUGGAACAAUAUCACUAGCCAGAUAGUUUGCAAAAUCUGUGAACCAUGGAAUCAAGUCUUGUGAAGCAGCCAAUACAUGCUCAUCAGGGAAAGUAUCAUCAAUGUCAGUCUUAUCCCCCAAAUCUCUCAUAGCUUCAUCCUCUAGAUGGGACAAAUGAUCAGCAACUUGAUUUUCAGUUCCUUUUCUAUCCAUCACUUCAAAGUCAAAUUCUUGUAGCAGUAAUACCCAACGAAUCAACCUAGGUUUCACAUCCUUCUUUUCCAUCAAAUAUCUCAAUGCUGAGUGGUCAGUAUGCACUAUAACUCUAGUACCUAGCAAAUAGGAGCGGAAUUUCUCAAAAUCAAAGACUACUGCAAGGAGUUAUUACUCAGUCACUGUGUAGUUCUUCUGAAUUCAUUUAGGGCUUUACUAGCAUAGUAAAUGGGGUGAAGGAUUUUAUUAUUUCUUUGUCCCAAUACUACACCAAGAGUAACCCCACUAGCAUCUUACAUCACCUCAAAUGGAUUGUUCCAAUUCGGAGAAAUAAUGAUAGGUGCAUACACCAAUUUUUCUUUUAGCUCAUCGAAUGCUUUAAGACAGGAUUCAUCAAAUUAAAAUUUACAAUCUUUCUCCAGAAGUUUGCACAAUGGAUGUGCAAUCUUUGAAAAGUCUUUGAUUAAUCUCUGGUAAAAACCUGCAUGCCCAAGAAAUCUUCUCACACCUUUCACAGAGAUCGGUGGGGGAAGUCUCUUUAUUACCUCGACUUUAGCUUGACCAACCUCUAUGCCCUUUUCUGAAAUGCGAUGACCCAAAACAAUACCUUCUUUCACCAUGAAAUGACAUUUUUCCCAAUUCAGUACAAAUUGAAGUCUUCACAUCUCUUAAGGACCUCAGAUAAAUUGUUCAAACGCCGCUCGAAUGAAUCACCAACAAUAGAAAAAUCAUCCAUAAAAACUUCUAUAGUAUCUUCCACCAUAUAGAAAAAUAUCUACAUCAUAAAUCUAUGAAAUGUGGCGGGUGCAUUGCACAACCCAAACGACAUUCUUUUGAACGCAAAGGUCCCAUAUGGACAAGUAAAAGUGGUUUUCUCUUGAUCUUUUGGUGCAAUAGAAAUCUGAUUAUAUCCAUUAAGAAAACAGUACCACCCUUUUCUGGCAAGUCUAUCCAACAUCUGAUCCAUAAAGGGAAUAGGAAAGUGGUCUUUUUCAGUCCAUGAAUUUUAUUUGCGGUAAUUCAUACACACCCUCCAUCUAGUAACCGGUCUCAUUGGAACAAGUUCAUUUCUUUCGUUGGGGACCACAGUCAUUCCCCCUUUCUUAGGUACACACUGAACAGGGCAUAACCAACUACUAUCGGCGAUUGGAUAUAUUACUCCGGCAUCCAACCACUUAAUGAUUUCCUUCUUCACGACCUCUUAAACAGGAGGAUUUAAGCGUCUCUGGUGCUCAAUACUUGGCUUACGAUCAGGCAUGAGUUGGAUUUUAUGAGAGCAAAUACCAGGAGGGAUCCCAAUAAUGUCCGAAAUAGUCCACCCAAUAGCUGUUUUGAACCUUUUUAGCACUUUCACCAAACUCUUAACUUGUUGUUCAUUCAGGUCUGAUGCAAUGAUUACUGGCAAAGUGUCACCAUUUCCUAAGAAUUCAUACCUGAGAUGAGGUGGGAGAGCUUUUAGUUCUAACUUUGGAGCCUCCUCUAUAGAUGGUUUCGCGGGUGGGGACUCGCGAUUUUUCAUAUCUAACUCAUAUUUCUUCGGUUUAAACCGAACAUCACCUCGAUCAAGAGCUGCGACUAAUGACUCAUACUCUUCAAUGCAAUCGCUAUCAAAAUUCAUUAUCACUACCGCUAAUGCUUUUACACCUAGACGUUCUUCUAUUUGUGUCUCAGAUGUCUCACCAAUGUUGUGAGAUAUAGCAGAUACUGAUUGGAUCUCACUACUCUGCCUCAUGGACCUACAAAUGUUAAAGGUCACUUCCUCAUUGUUCAACCAAAAUUUCAUCUGCCCCUUUUCCAUAUCAACUAAGGCUCUACCUGUAGCAAGGAAUGGCCUCCCAAGAAUAAUAGGCACUUCAAAAUCGACUUCACAAUCAAGAAUAACAAAAUCUGCCAGAAAUAUGAAUGACUCCACUUUUACUAGCACAUCAUGGAGUAUCCCUAUAGGCCUUUUCACUGUUCGAUCAUCCAUUAGUAGCCGCAUCGCAGUGGGUUUUGGCUCACCCAAACCCAACUUCUUGUAAAUCGAGAGGGGCAUGAGAUUUAUGCUUGCCGCCAUAUUACAUAAUGCUUUCGAAUAAUGUAAUAGUGCGAUUGUACAAGGAAUAGUGAAUUCACCCGAAUCUUCUUUGUUUUGUACCAGAGAUCUUGUAGCAAUAGCACUACAGUGUUGCAUUCUAUCAUCAUCCUCAAAAGUGACCGAUCUUUUCUUUGUAACCGGAUAUUUCAUAAACUUGGCGUAACCGGGCAUUUUUUUUAAAAGCUUCUACCAAAGGGACAUUGAUAAAAAGUUGUUUCAACAUUGUUAUAAAACACCGAUAUUUACCAUCCUCGAUCUUUUUCAAUAAUCUUUGAGGAAAUGGGGGGGUGGCCUAGGCAUGGAAGUUACCUUUUUAGGCACUUCAGCACCUUUUGCAGUGUUAUCUAGUUCACCAUUAAUAUCUACCACAUUAUCAAUAUCUUUUGUCACCUUUUUCUCAUUAGUUGGCAUAGGUGGGUCAAUGGUUUGCUUGCCACCGCGAGUAGUGAUUGCCAUACAAUGUCCAUCAUUUUUUAGAUUUUGGACAAUGUUGCUAGGAAGAGUGCCCGGUUGCCGUGUAUUCAGAGUCGCAGAUAAUUGGGCCAAUUGUAACUCAAGUUGCUUAAUCGAUAUUGCAUGUGUAUCGACUUUUUUCCCAAUACCCGCUAAAUCAUUCCUGAACUCUUUAUUGUGCUCAUCACUAACAUCGAACCUCCUCAUAAUUUUAUGCAACAUAUCCUCAACUCGCGCCAUACUACCUCCACCAUCCCUAGGAGUAACUUCACGAUUUUGAGAAGGAACAUAGGGCCCAUUCCUAUCAUUUCUAUUACCACAGUUACCCCUGUUGAAGUUGUUGUCACGGUUAUAGUUUCCAUCUCGUACAUAAUGACCCUCACGGUUGUAGUUACCAUAGUUCCGACCUUGGUUCCCUUGACCUUGGCGCUAAUCCUCCUGAUUAGAGCCUUAGGUACUUGGUCAGAAACCCCCCGUCUGCUCAUUUACCGCAUAGGAAUCCUCCUCAUAAUAACACUCAUCAUUUUGUGGCAGUGGUUUUGACAAGUAGUUGACUGCAUUUAUCUUUUCUGCACCCCAGUGACAUGUUUUAGUACCAACCCAAGCUCAGUUCUCAUCUGAGCCAUUUCUUCACGAAUCUCAUUUGUGGCUGGGUUGUGAGUGGACUGUACUGUGAAGGUAUUUCUCCCGGUAUCUGAUUUCCUAGUACUCCAAGUUUUAUUAUUCCAGGAGAUUUUCUCUAAUUUUUUAGCAAUCUCAUCAUAAGGGAACUCCCCAUAAGAUCCACCUGCUAUAGUGUCCAACACCGCUUUAUUAUUAUCAUUUUGUCAUCGAUAGAAGUAUUCCUUCAGUGACACAUUAUCUAUACGGUGAUUUGGGACACUUCUCAAGAACGAGGUGAAUCUAUCCGAAGAACUACUAACUGACUAUCGUGGUAGUGCCACAAAGUUGUUCACUCUGUCUUUGUGGUUUAGUUUCUUGGAGAUCAAAUAGUAGCGUACUAAGAAAACAUCCCUUAGUUGGUUCCAAGUGAAAAUUGAGUUAUAAUGGAGCUCAAUGAAUCAUAUAGAAGCCUCUCCCGUCAGGGAGAGAGGAAACACUCUAAGCCCUAUUACAUCCAAGUCCAAGUCAGGCCUCCCUACACAGCUUUUACACACUGCCCUUACCUUAGCUAUAUGGGCAUGUGGAUCCUCAGAAGGUAGCCCUGAAACCUCUGGCAAUGAGCAUUUGCAUCAGGCUACUAGUUACCACAAAAGUAUGGCCUGGUGGUAAAGGAGGCAAGACAAGUGGCCCAUCAGAGUGUGCUAUGUUGUCAUAGCCUCUAUAGUAUGCUUGGGGCCGUGGAGCGGGAUUUUGUCCAUUCUGUUGGUGUUCACCCGGACCCGGAGCAUCUGGUAACAACUGACCAUGAACAUCAACCGGAGUUGGGAUGUUCUGGUUUGGAUCAUCAUCAUUAAUUCCCAAGUUUCUAUUCAUGUUGCGUAGUGUACGCUAUAAUUCAUGAUCGUAGGGAAACAGGGGUUCUCUUCCUCUCCGUGUAUUUGGCAUACACGGAGGAUGGUUCUGCAAGAAUCAAAAACAAUAAAACAAAGUAAAAUCAAGAAAAUAUCAACUAAACUAUAGUAAUAAGUUUAAGUUAAUCUAAAAGCUACUUUCCCCGGCAGCGGCGCCAAAAUUUGAUACGCUCAAACUUACUUCUCAAAUAAGAAGUAAAGCGGUCGUGUCAAGUAAAUAACCCAACUAGUGAGGUUGGAAUCGUUCCCACGAGGAAAAUAGUUUAGACUGAACUUCAAUUUAUUACUACUAUUGUUCAGUCAAUUACUUCCUUAGAAAGCAAAAAUGAUAAAAAGGGGGGUUUCUAUUCCUAAAUAAAGGAAAAUAACUAGCGAAAUAAAAGGAGACAACUAACAACUUUGAAUGUUGGAGUUAAAUCAAUUAAUCAAAGUAACUAGGGUUUACAUGUUCCCCACAGGUUCAUAACUUGAUAAGUCUAGCUAUAACAAUUCUUUCCUAGUAUCUUGCAUGCAAAGUGAUAAGUUAUGUAUUUCUAAAUCUUUGGUCCGGCAUCUAGAAAAUUUCACUCCGCACCUUGGUCCGGCUACGUGUGUUGCUACCCUAACCUUUAUCUUUACCUCAUAUUAAGCAUUGUAUUCGAUAAUUACUAAGUUAUUACCUCGUACCAAUCAAUACUAGAAUAUUAGAUAGUAUACACUAAAUCUAUGUUGAUAAUUCUUUUCCUAUUAUUUACCUCCUUGGUCCGGCAAGUAGCAAUAAGGCAAAAUACUCACUAUUUCUACUUUACAUAAUGGCCUCUUUUUUUUAUUUCUGGCCGACAUACACUAUUUACUUUAUGACUAAGAAGACAAAAUACUUUUUACAUAAUUUGGCCUUUUAUGGCCGACACACUAACCUUCUACUUUAUUUCUACUUUAUUUCUUUACAUACUUGCCUUUACUUUUACAUAUGGCCGACACUACUCAUUCAUACUUUACAUAUGUCCUCAUUCUAGCUGGACUUCAGGAAUAUAGUUAUCUUCUCCAUUACAUUUUGUACAUAGGUGAUCUGGAUACUUUUGUCCUAAUAGUUUACAGUAUCUGGUCAUCAAGCUUGGAGAAAUAAAAUUUCUUCUGAUAGCUCUUGUUGUAGGUGUUUGUUCUGGCUUCAGUAAAGUUAAUAUCCAUUGUCGUACUUCUUCCAUAUCUGUUGCCCUUAUCUCUUUACAAUUGGAGUAUAUCAUUGUUUCAUCUCUGUUGUAAUAACUCCAGAUUGCAUUUUCAUUUAGGUAGUUGUUUGAUAACUCAUUUAAUAUGGUAGCUAUCCCAAUAGUUCUUUUGUUUGCAUAAAAAUCUGGGAUAUCCACCUUCUGUAUUUCUUCUUGUAUAUCUAUUUUUUCCGGUAUUAUCAUAUCUCUAGUUAAACCUAUCUUAAUAACUUGUAUUGUAGGUUUAAUUUCUUCAUAUAAUAUUUCUGCCGUUGCUGAGUAGAACUUUAUAUAAAAUAACGUUCCUUUAGUUAUUCUUUUAUAUUGUAGAAAUGCCUUAUGUAGCUCAGGUAUUUUAGCUACUUCGUCUCCAAUUAUAGUAUAUAUUGUGCUUAUUAGUCCGUAGUUGUAGCAAGUUUCGACUAGAUUUGGAUUUGUUCCUGGUUGUGCUAUUAGUUUGUUGUAUCCUUGUAGGUAUUGUGUGAUAUAAUUUUCAUUUUGAUUCUUGGUAUCUUUAGCUCUUGGGUUUAGGUUUAAAAAGGUUUGUAUCUUGUAUAUAUUUUCUAUAUACAUUCUGGUAAUGUGGUUAUAUGUUUGUUUUUCUGAAUCUAGACUGGCUUUGUAGGUAUUUAUUUGUAGAGGGACGAAUGUAUCUUUUUGGGUAUUCUGAGGAGUAUAUGGUUUUGAAAAUAAUUUAUUCAUGUUUAUAUUUGUGUAUUUCACUUUAGUUUCUUCCUUUUUUGAAGGUUGUCCUGCUGUAGAUGUGUUGGCUGUAGCUGCAUUUAAACAAACAUUGUUAUGGGUUUUAUGGAGUUUCCCAUCGUCUCCUUUUAGCUCUGGCUGUUUUCCGUCUGCCGAACGAUGUAGCUCCGCAUGUUUAUAGUCAUGCUGCUGACUUAUAUUUUUCAUCUUUUGUAACUCUUUAUCCAUACUGUCCACUUUCGUAGAAAGUGUAGUAAUGGCUUUGAGUAUUUCUUCCAUCGUAUCUUUUUCUGGUUCAGUUUGGGUUCCUUUUUCUUGAUAGAUAGUCUGCAACAAGAUUCUUGUCAGUCUUAAUUACUUCAAUUGUAAAUGUAAAAUUUAAUAUAUUUAAUACUAAUCUCCUUAUUUCUUUUGUUUUAACUGAAUCUUCUAACUUUUUUGUUAUCCACCAUUUUACCUGUGUAUUAUCUGUUCUUACAAUAAAUUUAUUGUAAACAAUAUAUGGUUCAAAUGCUAAUAAACAUUUAUAUAAUGCGAAUAAUUCUUUUCUAUUUAUUUCCCAUUUUAUUUGUGCUUCUGUAUACGAUCCUGAAUAAUAUCUAUAAUGGUGUUCUAUUUUUUCUUUUUCAUAUUUGUAUUUUAAAACUCCUCCAUAACUAUGAUCACUUGAAUCUGUUUCAACAAUAUAAGUAAAUAUUUUAUUUUCAUCACGAAAAUAAAGUUUUGGUAAUUUUUUACAUAAAUUCUUGAUAUUUCUUAUAUGUUCUUUAUCUUUAUUGUCGAAAUAGUAUUCUACAUCUUUUUUAAGUUUUUUAUGUAAUGAUUUUAAAUGUUCUGCUAAUUUUGGUAUAUAUUCUCUUACUUGAUUUACUAAUACUAGAAAGGAUUGUAAUUUCUUUUUUGUAUCUAUAUUCUCAGCAAGGUUGAUUAUUUUUUGUACUAUGUGGUUUUACAUUUUUAUUCCAUUUCUAUCUAUUUGUAUUCCUAGAAAUUCUAUCUGUGGUUUCAUAAUUUCUGCUUUCUUUUUACUUAAGCUUAUACCUGAGUGUUUAAUUAUAUAUAUAAAUUUUUCUAACAACCUUAUAUGUUCAUCUUGUGUUUUAGAAUAUAGUAAUAUAUCAUCUAUAUAUACAAUACAAUUUUCUAACUGGUUAAAGUAGUUAUCCAUAAAGUGUUGAUAUCUACCUGGUGCAUUCUUAUAUCCAAAUGGUAAUACAUUCCAUUCAUAGAAACCUUGUGGUACUGUGAAUGUUGUUAGUUGUUUAGAUUCUUCUUCUAGUUUUAGGUGACAAAAUUCUGAUUUACAGUCAAAUUUACUAAAAUAGUUAUAUCCUUGUAUUUGUCUUAUUUUUAGUAUUUUGUUUGGUAUUGGGUAAUUGUAUGUUUUAGUUUUAGCAUUUAGAUUAUGAUAAUCUAUGACCAUUCUACUUUUACCUCUUUUUUGUUCACUAUGUUUUAUAACUAUAAAUGCUGGACUUGUAUGUUUGCUAUUGCUUUCUUGUAUAUAAUUAUUUUCUAAUAGUUCAUCUAUAUGAAUUUUGAAUUCCUUUAAAUCAUCAAAGUUAUAUUUUAAUGGUUUCCGUGUUAUUAUACUAUUUUCAUCUAUUAGUUCAGUUUUUACUUUUGUCUUAUGUUUUUCUCAUCCUUGUAAUGGAUCUUCAUUAUACAGUUGUUCUAGUUGUUCAUUAAUUAUUUUAACUUUAUCUAUUGUAAAUAUAAUAAUUUCUAAUUGUGACAUUUGUUUCUUAUUUAUAUUUUCCAUUUCUUGAUUUUUUUUUCACUUCCUUUUAUCCAUUCUAUAGGUUUUCGUUGUUUAUUAUUUACUCUUUUUGCUCCUAUUUUGUUUCCGCAUGGUGUAGUAAACCACCAAUGUGUUUUUGUUAUUACAUGUGGGUAAAAUCUAUCUAAAAAUGGCAUUCCUAAUAACAUGUCUUUUGUCGUAAAUUCAAAAUUUCACAUUUCUUCAAUUGUUAAUAUUUUAUCCCAUAUUUGUAUUUUUAUAUUUUUUGCUUUGUAUUUAAUCAUACUUCCUUCAUUAUUAAAUUCUGUUACUACCAUAGGUGUUUUUAAUUUUUUCCAUUUAUCUUCUGGUAGACAAUUAUAUUUACAUAUAUUCACUUCUGCUCCUGUAUCUAUCAUAGGGGUAUAAUAUCUGUUGUGAUAUCCUUCUAAAAUAAUUUUUGCAAGUAUCAAUAUUUUCAUUAUUCAUUUUGUUCUUUUUAUAAUUAUUUUCUUAUUUUAUCAAGUUAUUGUUAAUUGUUCAUUUUCUAUAUUGUACGGUUUAACUUUUUCUAGCCAUUUUAUACCUAAUGUAAUAUUAUGAUUUCCUUGGUAUAUUUUAAAUGGUAUUAUUAAGGGUAUUCCUCCUAUAAUUAUUUCUUUUUCCGUUGUUUCUUCAUUUAUGUUUACUAUCUCACUAGGUAAUCCAGGGCAUAUGUGUCCUGUUUUUAUAAUUUCUUCUUCUAAUACUAACUCUCUUGUUAUGUAAUUUUCUCCUUGUCCUGUAUUUAUCAAAAUUUUAUAUUUUCAUUGGUCUAUUAUUCCUGUUAUGAAAUAAUGAUAUGGUGUUAUUUCUUCCUUAUCUAAUAAGUUUUGUGGGAUUUCAUAGUUUCUUUUAGAUGUAUUCAUUCUUGAUGAGGUAGCUCUUGUUAACGUAUUUGGUACACUUGAAGUACUUAAUCUUUCUUUUACAAUUUCUAAAUCUUCUUCUAUGUCAAUUUCUUUAUAGCUAUAGUCAUUAUUGUCUAUUACAGUAAUUAUUUUUUCGAAAGGAUAUUCUAUCUUUAUUUUAUCAAUUUUAUUUUUUGCUGUUAUUUUAUGUUUUGUUGUUAAUAUAUAUAAGUUUUACAUCUUGCUGUAAAUAUUUUACUGCCUGGUGCUAACUCUAUUCCAGACAUUUUCCAAUAUAAUACUAAUGAUUUAUCUAUAUUUCUAUUUGUUAAUGCUACUGUAUAAUUGACACUUAUUAUAAAUUCAAAUUUUUGGUAUAUUAAGUUUCCUUUUACUGCACUACUUACACUUUUUUCUUUAGGGUGUACAAUUCUUUCAUCUGCUAAGUAUAUUUCAAUAGGUGUAUCUAUUCCUGUCACGACCCAAACCGGGUUGCGACUGGCACCCACACUUACCCUCCUAUGUGAGCGAACCAACCGAUCUAACCUUAACAUUUCAAUAUAAUAUCAACAGAAAGUAAUGCGGAAGACUUAAACUCAUUAAUAAAAUCAAUAACUAUUAUUAUUCAACAUCUAUUAUUCCCAAAACCUGGAAGUCAUCAUCACAAGAACAUCUACUUUAAACUACUAAUUCUAAGAGUUUCUAAGAAGCUAAAAAUACAUAAGAAGCUAGUCCAUGCCGGAAGUUCAAGCCAUCAAGACAUGAAGGAGAAGAUCCAGUCCAAGCUAGAAGUGUUAGCUCACCCUCAAGAUCCGGUGUGACGAAGACUGGCUUGAGUUACUGUUGAGUCGAAGAUGACGGCAAGUUUGCUGCACUCCACAAAUAACAAGAAGAAAAACAUAAAAGUAGGGGUCAGUACAAAACACGGGUACUGAGUAGAUAUCAUCGGCCAACUCAAAAUAGGGAACAGUAUAUAUCAAAUAUUAUAGUAAAUAAACUAUAAAACUCAACAUGUAGCAACAACAAGUACUAUAAUCAUCAAUAAGUACCAUCAAGUUCAUCCAUGAGGGCUCAAGCCUCAACACCAUACUCAUUUGGGAAUUAAGUAUAUUAAGUUGAGUGUAUUAUCAUCUUUCAAGAUUCAUUAUCUUUCCUCCUCUUGUGUCGGUACGUGACACUCCGAUCCCCUACUACUAUGUGUCGGUACGUGACACUCCGAUCCCCUAAUUCUAUGUGUCGGAACGUGACACUCCGAUCCCCUAAUUCUAUGUGUCGGAACGUGACACUCCGAUCCCCUACAUGUGUUGGAACGUGACACUCUGAUCCCCUACAUGUGUCGGUACGUGACACUCCGAUCCCCUACAUGUGUCGGAACGUGACACUCUGAUCCCCUACAUGUGUCGGUACGUGACACUCCGAUCCCCUACAUGUGUCGGAACGUGACACUCCGAUCCCCUACAUGUGUCGGAACGUGACACUCCGAUCCCCUACAUGUGUCGGUACGUGACACUCCGAUCCCCUAAUUCUAUGUGUCGGAACGUGACACUCCGAUCCACUAAUACUAUGUGUCGGAACGUGACACUCCGAUCCCCUACAUGUGUCGGUACGUGACACUCCGAUCCCCUAAUUCUAUGUGUCGGAACGUGACACUCCGAUCCACUAAUACUAUGUGUCGGAACGUGACACUCCGAUCCACUAAUACUAUGUGUCAAAACGUGACACUCUGAUCCACUAAUAUCAUUCUGUAAAUCAUCAAGCCUUCUCUAUUCCAAGGCAUCAUCAAUCCCAUUACUUUAAUUCAUCAAGCCUUCUUCUAUACCAAGGCAUCAUCAUUAAUAAUGUAUAUUAAAGUUUCUUUUCAAGAUUUGGGAUUCAAUAUUUUCAUCAUGCUUAUCUUAUCACAAUCACAUAAUCAUAUUCAUGCAAACAUACCAUUAAGCAUAUAGUAGGGUUUACAAUACUACCAAUACAUAUCAUUCACUAUUAAGAGUUUACUUAUGAAGCAUGAAAACCAUAACCUACCUCCACCGAAGAAUUGAAAUCAAGCAAGUUAAUCCUCAAAGCUUGGUGUUUUCCUCGUCUUCUUGAUCGUUUCUCUCUCUCCCUUCUUGUUCUUUCUAUUUUCUUAUUCAAACCCUCUUUCUUUUACCCUAAUUAGUAUAUAAUUAAGAAUAAAAGAUGGCAAUAAUACCCCACUAAUUAACUUAGGGUUACCUCUUUUAACCCCCAAGAAUUUGAGUUAUUAAUAUAAACCCACGAACUUUAUAAUUAAGGCAAGAACAGUCAAAAACGUCCCUUAAAACUUAACCAGAAAUCCGACUCCAACUGGGAUUAUGCAAACUGUGACGGGCCGUCGCGCCUGCGACGGUCCGUCCUGCAGGCCGUCGCAAGGGUCAGAGACUCAGUUUCCACUGAAUUAUCUGUGACGGUCCGUCACGCCUGUGACGGUCCGUCCUACCAUUCCGUUACAAAGUUCAGAGAGUCGAUUUUCAGUACCCAAUUUCAUAUUUUCUAAGUGUUUUGAAACGAGACCCUGCGACAGUCCGUCGUGCCCAUGACGGUCCGUCGUGGGGUCCGUCGCUUCUGCCAGUUUUUCUAGAAAUAAAGUUUGUUGCUCAAAACGACUAAACAGGUCGUUACAAUAGAUACCAAUUUACCCAUCGUUCGUCCCCGAACGAUCAAAAGAAGGAAAACAAGGGCGAAAAGGAGUACCUGAAUCUGUAAACAGAUGUGGGUAUUUUUCUCGCAUAUCCGCCUCCUUCUCCCAAUAGGCUUCUUCAACGGGUUGAUUCUUCCAUUGCACCUUGAUGGAUGCAAUCUCUCUUGACCUCAACUUGCGAACUUCUCUAUCUAAAAUAGCAACAGGCUCCUCCUCAUAAGACAAGUUCUCAUCAAGCAAAAUUGAAUCCCAACGGACAAUGUAGUUUCCAUCCCCAUGGUAUCUUUUCAACAUCGAUACAUGGAAUACCGGAUGCACUCCGGACAGCCCUGGAGGCAAGGCUAACUCAUAAGCCACCUCUCUUACUCGCUUAAGUACUUCAAAUGGUCCAAUGUACCUUGGACUUAGUUUACCCCUUUUUCCAAACCGCAUCACCCCUUUCAUUGGUGAAACUUUCAACAAGACUUGUUCACCCUCCAUGAACUCUAAGUCUCUAACCUUUCGAUCUACAUAUUCUUUUUGUCUACUUUGCGCCGCUAGAAGCUUUUCUUGAAUAGACUUCACUUUCUCUAUCGAAUCCCUCAAAAGGUCAGUACCCCAAGGUCUAACCUCAAAUGCAUCAAACCAACCAAUGGGAGACCUACAUCUCCUACCAUACAAUGCUUCAAAUGGAGCCAUAUCAAUGCUUGAGUGAUAGCUAUUAUUGUAUGAAAACUCCGCUAAGGGUAGGAAGCUAUCCCAAUGACCACCAAACUCUAUCACACAUGCACGAAGCAUAUCCUCCAACACUUGAAUCGUUCGCUCAGACUGACCAUCGGUCUGAGGAUGGAACGCAGUACUAAGGUCCAACCUAGUACCCAAUUCUGCAUGCAAUGUUUUCCAAAACAUAGAAGUAAACUGCGUACCUCUAUCUGAUAUGAUGGAUAGUGGAACCCCAUGUAAUCGAACGAUUUCUGAGAUAUAGAUCUUGGCUAACUUCUCGGCAUUGUAAGUCACCUUAACCGGAAUAAAAUGAGCAGAUUUAGUUAACCUAUCAACAAUCACCCAAAUGGAGUCAUACUUACCCAUUGUCUUCGGAAGACCAACCACAAAAUCCAUUGCAAUUCUUUCCCACUUCCAUUCCGGAAUGGGCAUUCUCUGAAGUGUUCCUCCGGGCCUUUGGUGUUCAUACUUUACUUGUUGACAGUUUGGACAUUUGGCAAUAAAAUCCACAAUGUCACGCUUCAUUCUACUCCACCAAAAGUGUUGCUUUAGGUCACGGUACAUCUUGGUUGCACCCGGAUGUAUCGAAUACUUUGAACUAUGAGCCUCUGUCAGAAUAGUGUUGAUCAAAUCAUCGACGCGGGGUACGCAUACCCUUCCCUUGAUUCUCAAAACACCUUCCUCAUCGAUUUGUGCUUCCUUAGCCUCCCCUCGCAAUACUUUAUCUUGGAUUCGCCUUAGCUUCUCAUCAUCAAACUGUUUUCCCUUAAUUUUGUCAAGAAAAGAAGAUCUUGCCUCCACAAAAGCAAACAAUCCUCCCUUCUCAUUUACUUCUAAUCUCAUCAAGUCAUUAGCUAGAGUCUGAACCUCUCUAGCCAGUGGGCGUCUAGAAGCUUGCAAGUGAGCUAGACUUCCCAUGCUUCCCGCCUUUCUACUUAAAGCAUCCGCUACAACAUUCGCCUUCCCCGGAUGAUACAAGAUAGUGAUAUCGUAGUCCUUUAGUAACUCCAUCCAUUUCCUCUGUCUUAAGUUCAAAUCUUUCUGAGUAAAGACAUACUGAAGGCUACGAUGAUCCGUGUAGACCUCACACUUAACCCCAUAUAAAUAGUGUCUCCAUUGCUUUAAUGCAAACACUACCGCAGCCAAUUCCAAAUCAUGAGUUGGAUAGUUACGUUCAUGCACCAUUAAUUGCCUUGAAGCAUAAGCAAUCACACUCUUCUCUUGCAUUAGUACUGCACCCAAACCAGAAUAGGAUGCAUCACAAUAAACAACGAAGUUCUUACCCUCUACUGGCAAGGUAAGGAUAGGUGCGGUAGUCAACAAAGUCUUGAGCUUCUGAAAGCUUUCCUCACACUCAUUCGACCAUACAAAUGGAACAUUCUGCUUAGUCAAGUUCAUCAGUUGGGAAGCAAUAGAAGAGAAUCCCUUGACGAAUCGGCGGUAGUAGCUAGCUAACCCAACAAAGCUCCUUAUUUCCGAUACAUUAGUAGGUCUUACCCAAUUCUUCACUGUCUCAAUCUUAGAAGGAUCCACCAUCACUCCAUCCUUAGAAACCACGUGUCCCAAGAAGGACACUGCAUCUAGCCAAAACUCACACUUAGAGAACUUCGCAUAAAGCUUUUUCUCCCUCAACAUUUCCAAUACCAUUCUCAAAUGCUCUUCAUGUUCCUUCUUGAUCUUUGAGUAUACCAAUAUAUCAUCAAUAAAUACGAUAACGAAGAGGUCCAAAUAUGGCUUAAAAAUCCCGUUCAUCAAGCUCAUGAACGCAGCAGGGGCAUUCGUAAGACCAAAAGACAUCACUACAAAUUCGUAAUGCCCAUACCUUGUUCGAAAAGCAGUCUUUGGCACAUCCGUUGCCCGUAUUUUCAACUGAUGAUAACCGGAUCUCAAGUCAAUCUUAGAGAAGACACAAGCACCUUGUAACUGAUCGAACAAGUCAUCAAUGCGGGGAAGAGGAUACUUGUUCUUUAUGGUUACCUUGUUUAGUUGUCUGUAGUCUAUACACAUUCGAAAACUCCCAUCCUUCUUCUUUACAAAUAAAACUGGAGCACCCCAAGGAGAUGCACUUGGUCUAAUAAAGCCUUUGUUUAACAACUCUUGAAGUUGUGCCUUUAACUCUCUUAACUCUGUGGGAGCCAUUCUAUAAGGGGGUAUAGAAAUGGGGCGAGUACCCGGUUCAAGAUCGAUACAGAAGUCAAUAUCCCUAUCUGGUGGCAUACCAGGAAGAUCUGCAGGGAACACAUCCAAAAACUCACGGACUACUGAAACCGACUCAAUCGAAGGCACUUGGGUAGUGUCAUCCUUGAGAUGUGCCAAGAAAGCUAAACACCCUUUACUAACCAUUUUCUUAGCACGAAGAAAGGAGAUGAUACGCACCGGAUUGGAAGUGUAGUCACCCUCCCACACUAAUGGAUCUGUCCCAGGCUUGGCUAACGUCACCGUUUUAGCAUUACAAUCCAAGAUCACAAAUUGCGGAGAAAGCCAAGUCAUACCCAGAAUUACAUCAAAAUCAUCCAUUUCUAAGAUAACCAAAUCUACAUAAGUGUUGCUCCCCACAAAGUUCACCAAACAAGACCUAUAUACUUUUUCAACUACCACAGACUCACCUACCGGAGUAGAAACACGAAUAGGCAUAUCAAGAAAUUCACAAUGUAAAUUUAGACCAUUAGCAAAUGAGGAAGAUACAUAAGAAAACGUGGAUCCAGGAUCAAACAAUACAGAAGCCAUGCAAUCACAAACCAGAAGAUUACCUGUGAUGACAGCAUCAGAUGCCUCCGCUUCAGACCGCCCAGGGAAAGCGUAACAAUGGGCCCUAUCGUUUAUCUGUCCAUUGCCCCUACCAUGUUGUGAUGUAGUGGCCCCAGUUUGCCCAUUACCUCUGCCGUUUUGGUGACCACCAUUACCUCGACCACCACGUCCUCCAGAAUAACGGCCUCUACCAUGACCACCUCUACCUCUAGCUAUUGGGGGUCUAUAACUUUGUCUAGGACAAUUAUUCCUAAUAUGUCCAAUCUCCCCACAUCCGUAACAUUCUCUGGAGUCAAUCAUAGGCCCCUCGGAGAAGUGUUGACCGGUCUGAGGUGGUCCCCCAACUACAGUCUGUAGUGAAGAUUGAAUUGGUCGGACUGAGUAACUUCCCGAACCCUGUCCUCUAGUGUAAGAACCAUUAAACUCACCUCCCUUUCGAAACCUUUUUGAUGUCGAUGUUGUGGUGAAGUUGUCUGGCUUCACUCCUUCCAUUUCUAUCACAAAGUCUACCACUUCUUGGAAGGAUUUUGCCGUUGCCGCUAUCUGUAAGGCCGAAAUCCGCAAUUCUGACCUCAACCCCUUCACAAACCGGCGAAUCCGCUCUUGAGGACUGAAACAGAGUUGAGUGGCAUAUCUGGAUAGUGCACGGAACUUAGCCUCAUAAGCAUUAACCGACAUCCUACCAUGCUCUAGGCUCAGGAACUCAUCCCUUUUCCUAUCCCUCAAAGUCCGAGGGAUAUACUUCUCCAUAAACAAGCUAGAGAAUGAGGCCCAAGUCAUAGGUGGUGCCUCUGUCGGUUGACACUCAACAUGGGAUCGCCACAACAUUUUGGCGUUCCCUUGAAACUGAUAAGUCACAAACUCCACACCAAACCGUUCUACUAUACCCAUCUUGUGUAGUAGCUCGUGACAGUCAACCAGAAAAUCAUAAGCAUCCUCCAAUUCAGCACCCUUGAAGACUGGAGGUUUCAAUUUCAAGAACUUACUGAAAAGUUCAUGCUGAUCACUUGUCAUUAUAGGACCAGUAGUCAGACGUGGAAACGUGCCUAUUUCCGAUGGAACAUCCAUGCGGGGAGCCAUAGUAGCCGCAUGUUGUACCUCCGGAGCCUGAGGUGCUGGUGCAGAAAACACUGGGGGUGUCUGGCCCUGAUCAGAUAACCCAUCAGAUAACCCGCUAAGAUAAGCCAGAACCUGAUUGAUCAUCUCUGGGGUAGGUUGGGGUGGCAUUUCCUCAUUUUGCACUUGUUCAUUCACCCCAUCCUCCCCCUCUCUUAUCACUUCCUCAAUCGGUGGAGGAGUCACCGCCCUAGUACCAGAUGGGCUCGGUGCUCGUCCUCUUCCUCUAGAGGACGUCCUCCCACGACCUCUACCACGGCCCCUUGCCGCUGUUCUUCCUCGAGCCACAGCCCCAGUGGCUAGCUCAGUUGUUUCUUGUCUGGCCGGUGUUGGUGUUGGCGUAGUCGUUGCUCUAGUUCUAACCAUCUGCGAAAGAGAGUGAAGAUGGUCAGAUACCAAUUCGUAUCGCCUAGAUACCAAUUGGACUCAAGUAGUAGCACGAAAGAAAGAAUGAAAGAGUGAAAUUUUCCUAAAGUCUUAUAGCCUCUCAAGGAAAAGUAAAGGCGUCCCCCUACCGUUCCUUAAGACUCUACUAGACCUGUUCUUGUGUGAUGAGACCAACGAACCUAAUGCUCUGAUACCAAGUUUGUCACGACCCAAACCGGGUUGCGACUGGCACCCACACUUACCCUCCUAUGUGAGCGAACCAACCGAUCUAACCUUAACAUUUCAAUAUAAUAUCAACAGAAAGUAAUGCGGAAGACUUAAACUCAUUAAUAAAAUCAAUAACUAUUAUUAUUCAACAUCUAUUAUUCCCAAAACCUGGAAGUCAUCAUCACAAGAACAUCUACUUUAAACUACUAAUUCUAAGAGUUUCUAAGAAGCUAAAAAUACAUAAGAAGCUAGUCCAUGCCGGAAGUUCAAGGCAUCAAGACAUGAAGGAGAAGAUCCAGUCCAAGCUAGAAGCGUUAGCUCACCCUGAAGAUCCGGUGUGACGAAGACUGGCUUGAGUUACUAUUGAGUCGAAGAUGACGGCACGUUUGCUGCACUCCACAAAUAACAAGAAGAAAAACAUAAAAGUAGGGGCAGUACAAAACACGGGUACUGAGUAGAUAUCAUCGGCCAACUCAAAAUAGGGAACAGUAUAUAUCAAAUAUUAUCGUAAAUCAACUAUAAAACUCAACAUGUAGCAACAACAAGUACUAUAAUCAUCAAUAAGUACCAUCAAGUUCAUCCAUGAGGGCUCAAGCCUCAACACCAUACUCAUUUAGGAAUUAAGUAUAUUAAGUUGAGUAUAUUAUCAUCUUUCAAGAUUCAUUAUCUUUCCUCCUCUUGUGUCGGUACGUGACACUCCGAUCCCCUACUACUAUGUGUCGGUACGUGACACUCCGAUCCCCUAAUUCUAUGUGUCGGAACGUGACACUCCGAUCCCCUAAUUCUAUGUGUCGGAACGUGACACUCUGAUCCCCUACAUGUGUUGGAACGUGACACUCCGAUCCCCUACAUGUGUCGGUACGUGACACUCCGAUCCCCUACAUGUGUCGGAACGUGACACUCCGAUCCCCUACAUGUGUCGGUACGUGACACUCCGAUCCCCUACAUGUGUCGGAACGUGACACUCCGAUCCCCUACAUGUGUCGAAACGUGACACUCCGAUCCCCUACAUGUGUCGGUACGUGACACUCCGAUCCCCUAAUUCUAUGUGUCAGAACGUGACACUCCGAUCCACUAAUACUAUGUGUCGGAACGUGACACUCCGAUCCACUAAUACUAUGUGUCAAAACGUGACACUCCGAUCCACUAAUAUCAUUCUGUAAAUCAUCAAGCCUUCUCUAUUCCAAGGCAUCAUCAAUCCCAUUACUUUAAUUCAUCAAGCCUUCUUCUAUACCAAGGCAUCAUCAUUAAUAAUGUAUAUUAAAGUUUCUUUUCAAGAUUUGGGAUUCAAUAUUUUCAUCAUGCUUAUCUUAUCACAAUCACAUAAUCAUAUUCAUGCAAACAUACCAUUAAGCAUAUAGUAGGGUUUACAAUACUACCAAUACAUAUCAUUCACUAUUAAGAGUUUACUUAUGAAGCAUGAAAACCAUAACCUACCUCCACCGAAGAAUUGAAAUCAAGCAAGUUAAUCCUCAAAGCUUGGUGUUUUCCUCGUCUUCUCGAUCGUUUCUCUCUCUCCCUUCUUGUUCUUUCUAUUUUCUUAUUCAAACCCUCUUUCUUUUACCCUAAUUAGUAUAUAAUUAAGAAUAAAAGAUGGCAAUAAUACCCCACUAAUUAACUUAGAGUUACCUCUUUUAACCCCCAAGAAUUUGAGUUAUUAAUAUAAACCCACGAACUUUAUAAUUAAGGCAAGAACAGUCAAAAACGUCCCUUAAAACUUAACCAGAAAUCCGACUCCAACUGGGAUUAUGCAAACUGUGACGGGCCGUUGCGCCUGCGACGGUAUGUCCUGCAGGCCGUCGCAAGGGUCAGAGACUCAGUUUCCACUGAAUUAUCUGUGACGGUCCGUCACGCCUGUGACGGUCCGUCCUGCCAUUCCGUUACGAAGUUCAAAGAGUCGAUUUUCAGUACCCAAUUUCAGAUUUUCUAAGUGUUUUGAAAUGAGACCCUGCGACGGUCCGUCGUGCCCAUGACGGUCCGUCGUGGGUCCGUCGCUUCUGCCAGUUUUUCCAGAAAUAAAGUUUGUUGCUCAAAACGACUAAACAGGUCGUUACAAUUCCUUCUCUAAAACAAGCUUUUAUUAAUAUUUCUGUUCCUCCUAAAUGUACAUAUUUUAUUGGUGUUUUAGCUUUUAUAUCUUGUAUUUCUUUAUUUAUUAUUCAUUUACUUAGUAUAGGUAUAUAUACUUUUCCUUUUGCAUAUUUACAAUCUAUAAUAUGUUCUUUUUGACUAACUACAUAGUAUUCUUCUUUUUGUCUUUUAAACCAAUUUCUUAAAGUAGGUAUUUCAAGUACUUUUUCAACACUUAAGUCUAAUUAUUUUCCUUUUAUUUGUUCAAAAAUUGUAGUAUCAAAUAUAAUUUUUUGGUCUGAUAAUUCUUCAUUUUGAUAAUCUUCUUAAGAUAUUAUUUUUAUUUCAUCUUUAGACAUUAUAUUUCUUCAUCUAUUUCAUUAUUAUCUAGAUUUAUAUUUUCUUCUUCAUUUUCAGUUUCUAUAUCUGAUACUUCAUAUAUACUAUCGCCUUCACUUAAUUCAUAGUCUAUGUAUUCUAUUUGCAUAUAUUUGUCAUUAUCUAUAAUUACUUCUGCAAUUUGCUUCCUUUUCGGAUCUUUGGGUAGUUUGCAAUCUCUAGCUAAAUGUCCUAUCUUUCCGCAAUUAUAACAAGUACAUUGGGAUAUUUUUCUUUUUGGUCUAUAUGGUCUUUUUAUUUUAUAAUUUUUAUAUAAUAUCUUCGUCUUGGUUUCUUAUAUUUAUACUUGGUUUUAGUUUUUCUAUAAUUCUUAUACCUUUUAGGAUUUUGCUUUUUAUUUGUACAUCCAAAGUGGUGCUAUAUUAUUUUUACAACAGGCUAAAUUCUUGUUUAGUAUUUUUUCCAUUUUUAAUUUUUCUUUUUGGUUUUCACAUAGUUGUAUGAACCAUUGAUGUAAAAUUUUUAUUCUAGCUCCUAAAGUAUCUACUAAUCCUUCAUCAUUCCAAUCUUUAAUUAUUUUUGUGCUAAAUGGUUCUGGUAAUUUUGUAAAAUAUUGUUUUCUUAUUUCUUUUGCUUCAUUUAAAUUGUAUUUUGCUUUGUAAUAGUAUUCCUUAAAUGCACAAGUGUAUUCUUCUGUAUAACACAUUUUACAUAUAGCUAAUUUUGUCAUAAGUUGCCUAUUUAUUAUUUUUUCUCUAUUCUAUUCUCUUAUAUCUGUGGUCAUACCUCCAAAUUCAUUUCUUAUUGUUGAUUCAUAUUUAUCUAGUAUAUCUAUAUUUGUUACUGAUGGAGAUCCAUCCAUUUUCUUGUCACUUCCAAGUACUUCUAAACUUUCUAAGGGUAAAUUUUCUAUCCAUAAUCUUGUUUUUCCUACAAAUGUUCUUUCUAUAUACCUUGGUGUUUCUGUUGUUUUUAUUUUGUUAUCUAUUAGUUGCUUAGAUAUAUUUCCUAUCCAUAGUAAUAUUGCUUUAUUUAUAUCUGUAACACAAUCUAGAUCUAAGAAACUAUAUUGUUCGUUUAUUGAUUUUGGUGUCCAAUUUUUAUUUAAUCUACUAUUCCAUAUUGCGUUAGUUCUAUCUGAUUGCUGAUAACUUUCUGUAUAAUAAGUUGGUGGUGUCCAUCUAGGACUAAUUCUACGACUAUUUCUGGGACUAUUGUCUGGAGUUUUAACUCUUGACAUACUAGGUCGCUUCAUAUCUCCUGUGUUUAUUUCUAAUUUUUUCGGCUUAUUUACCUGUUCUAGAAUUUCUGUGUAUGUCUCACUUAUAUCACUUAUUUAUGAUUUUUGGUCAUUUAUUGUAUCUGAUUCAUUUUCGCCUAUUUCAUUUAUUUCAAGGUCUUCAUUUAGUUUUUGUUCCAUCUCUUUUAUUUCAUUAGUUAAUUCUAAUUCUUUUUCCUUUUCUAUCUGUUUCUCUUUUUGUUUAGUUUCAUAUAAUAAUUUUAACCUAGCUAAUUCUUUUUCUAAUUCACUUAUUCUUGUAUUUUUUAUUUCUUCUAAAUGUUGUACUUCUUAUUUUGCUUGUAUUUUUAUUUUUUCAAUUUCUUUUGAUUUGUCUAUUUCUUCAUUUUCUUUUGUUAUUCUUAUCAUAGCUGUUAGACCAUCUUCUAAUUUUGUUGUUUCUUUUUCUAACAUUAAAUAUAAAUUAUUUCCUAUUUUUUUAUAUCGUCUUCCUAGGUUUGAAAAUAUUAUUUUUAUCAUUAAUCCAUCUUGAUUUUCAUAUGUCUUUUCAUCUACUGCAAACUCUUCUUUAUUCAUUAUAAUUUAUAAAUUAUGUUAUGUUGUAAUUUAUAUUCAAGGUGAUCUAUUUGUAUUUCUAACAUAAAUAAAACUUUUCUUUGUGCUAAUAUUGAUUUAUUACAUACUCCUGCUAACAUGUUUUCUAUUAAUCUUUCUUUCCUAUGUUGUAGUUCUUGUCUUUUUUCAUUUGUUUUUCUUAUCAAUUGUUGCAUAUAUAUUUCUUUGUUCAUACUAUUUUUUCAAAUAACAAACAUAUUUGUAUUCUGUUUUUGAAAUUAUGUUUAUCAAAUAAUUUGUCCAUAUCUUAUUUUUUGUGAACUAGCUCUGAUACCAAUGUGGGGUGGAAGCGAUAUUAGAGAGAGAUGUAGUAGAGAUGGAAAAUGAUUGAUUUUAUUAUGAGGGAAAGCCCUCUAUUUGUACUACUAAAUUUACAUAUCUGGCCAAUGUAAGUGGCCGACAUUUACUUUACACUUGGCCUAAUUAUAUUUGACCAACACUAAAAAUAAAAUAUUCACUAUUUCUACUUUACAUAAUGGCCUCUUCUUUUUAUUUCUGGCCAACACACACUAUUUACUUUAUGACUAAGAAGAAAAAAUACUUUUUACAUAAUUUGGCCUUUUAUGGCCGACACACUAAAUGAUAUACUCCAAUUGUAAAGAGAUAAGGGCAGCAGAUAUGGAAGAAGUACGACAAUGGAUAUUAAGUUUACUGAAGCCAGAACAAACACCUACAACAAGAGCGAUCAGAAAAAAUUUUAUUUCUCCAAGCUUGAUGACCAGAUACUGUAAACUAUUAGGACAAAAGUAUCCAGAUCACCUAUGUACAAAAUGUAAUGGAGAAGAUAACUAUAUUCCUGAAGUCCAGCUAGAAUGAGGACAUAUGUAAAGUACGAAUGAGUAGUGUCGGCCAUAUGUAAAGGUAAAUGCCAGUAUGUAAAGAAAUAAAGUAGAAAGUUAGUGUGUCGGACAUAAAAGGCCAAAUUAUAUAAAAAGUAUUUUGUCUUCUUAGUCAUAAAGUAAAUAGUGUGUGUCCGCCAGAAAUAAAAAGAAGAGGCCAUUAUGUAAAGUAGAAAUAGUGAGUAUUUUAUUUUUAGUGUUGGCCAAAUAUAAUUAGGCCAUGUAUAAAGUAAAUGUCGGUCACUUACAUUGGCCAGAUAUGUAAAUUUAGUAGUAUAAAUAGAGGGCUUUCCCUCAUAAUAAAAUCAAUCAUUUUUCCUCUCUACUUCAUCUCUCUAAUAUCGCUUUACAUGCAAGACACUAUUCUAGAAUUGUUAUUUUAGUUAGGUUUUACCUCAUUAUUAGCCUAUUGUUCCCACAACCCUAGUUAUGAAGUUUAGUUACCAAUAGUCAUAAUUACAAUAUUCAAAUAUGUGAUAUAAGAAUUCGUGCACUUACUUCGAUGAGAAAGAGUAAAAUCCUAAAGUUCACUUGAUUAAUCAGCAAAAAUCACCAACAAUCAAUGAUAAAAGUCUCAAGAUAAUCAAUACUCUCUCAAAGAGUCUACAAAAUAAUCAAGAGUCUCCCAAUAUUCAAAGGUCUAACAAUGAUCAAGAGGCUAACCUCAAAAAUGAGGUUUUUCGAAAUAUUUAUAGAAAAUAAAAACCUAAUUAAACAAGGACUCUAUUUGCUGGAAAUUUGUCAAAAACGCGGCUGGAUCGACUGACAUCGCGACGGAUCAUCGUGGUCACGACGGACCGUCAUGGACUUCGUUGUCCCAUACUUGAUGAAAUUUCUUCUGCUUCUCUCUUCAUUACCCUCGACGGCAGAUAUGAAGGAUCGUUACGAGCACGACGGCCCGUCGAGGGUCUUCGUUCCAAAACACUUGAACUCUUAGAAUAUGGGUAGUGGGGCUACUUCUCUGAUCUUCAUAACGAACCUGCAGGACGGACCGUCAUGGCUACGAUGGUCCGUCACAUUUUCCGUAACCCCAUACUUGGUCAGACUUCCCCAUCUUCCUUCAGCAGCUGCACUACGCUGCCACCUAUGGAUCGUCACAAGCAUGACGGAGCGUCACAGGCUCCGUAGGUGGUCUAUUCUGCAUUUCUUCGCUCAAAAACCUCCGCAUUCAUCUUUGGACAGAUUUCCUACAAAUAAGGAGAAACUUAUAUAAAAAUUAGCAUAAAAAGGCUUUUGGACACACUAAACGUAAGGAAAAAGUAUUAAUAAUACCGUAAAACCACGGUAUAUCAAUGUGCAAUAAAAGUAGAAGGCUAUGUAACUUUCCUACAUGAAGGGUCUAUGUAUACUCGAUAUGAAUAUAUAUUAUGUGUAUGUAGCGGUUUAUGUAAACCUCAAGUAGUAAUGAUAAAAGUUUUAAAUUUUUCGCACUUUUUAACCUACGAAUGUAAUUGUCACGACCCAAAACGAGUCGCGAGUGGCACCCACACGUAUCCUACUAUGUGAGCGAAACAACCAAUCUAAACCCCAACAUUUCAACCAUAUUAAACAGAAAAUAAUGCGGAAGACUUAAAGAUCAUUAACGAAAACAAUUAAUAACUUCUUAAAUUCAAUACUUAUCAUUCCCCAAAAUCUAGAAGUCAUCAUCACAAGAACAGCUAUCCUCAAUUUACUAAAUCUAAGAAUGUCUAGGAAGCUAAAACAAAUACAAGAGAUAGUCCAUGUCCGAACUUCAAGGACAUCAAGACAUGAAUGAGAGAGAAUCCAGUCCGAGCUAGGAACAAUAGCUCACCCUGAAAUCUGACGUGGUGAAGACUUGCUAGAGUUGCGGUUGAGUUGAAGACGACGGUACGUUUGCUGCACUCCACAAAUAACAAAGAAAUAAACAUACAAGUAGGGGUCAGUACAAAACACAAGUACUGAGUAGAUAUCAUCGGCCAACUCAAAAUAGAAAGCAAUAUAUAUCAGAUAAUAACAUAAAUCCAACCACAUACUUAACAGGUGACAACAACAACCAGUACCAUCACCAUGUGCCACAACCCAAGCACAUCUAUGAGGACUCAAGCCUCCAUAUCAUACUCAUUUAGGAAUUAGGUUCAUUAAAUCUGAGUAUAUUAGCAUAAUUCAAGAUUCAUUCUCUUUACUAUCCUGGUGUCAGAACGUGACACUCCGAUCCUCCUCAUACUAUCCUGGUGUCGGAACCUGACACCCGAUCCACUACUACUAUCCUGGUGUCGGAACGUGACACCCGAUCCAUUAAUACUAUCCUGGUGUCGGAAUGUGACACCCGAUCCAUUAAUACUAUCCUCGUGCCGGAACAUGAACCCGAUCCUUUUAUAUUAUCCUGGUGAAGGAAAGUGACUCCCGAUCCAUUUAUACUAUCCUGGUGCCGUAACGUGACACCCGAUCCAUUUAUACUAUCCUGGUGCCGCAACGUGACACCCGAUCCAUUAAUACUAUCCUAGUACCGGAAUGUGACACUCGAUCCAUUUAUACUAUCCUGGUGCCGGAACGUGACACCCGAUCCCCUAACCUCAUUAUUUUAGUUCAUCAAGCCUUCUUUUAUACCAAGGCAUCAUCAUUAACAAAGAGGUUUUAAGAUUUAAGAUUCAACAGCCUCAUCGUGCUUAUUUUAUCACAAUUAUAUAAUCACAACAUGCAAACACACAAUUAAGCAUAUAGAAGACUUUACAAUACUACCCUACACAUAUCAUUCGCUAUUAAGAGUUUACUAUGAAAUAACAUAAACCAUAACCUACCUCCACCGAAGAAUUGUGAUCACGCAAUCUACUUUGUCAAUGCUUUGCUUUCCUCUUCGUUCUUCUCUUUCUCUCGCUCGUCUCUCCCUUCCUCUCUCUGUUCUUUCUAUUUUUCCUUAUUCAAACCCUUUUUCUUUUACCCUAAUAACCAUAUAAUUAAGUAUAAAAGAUGCUAAAAGUAACCCACUAUUUAUUCCAAGGUUAUCUCCUUUAACCCCCAAGUGAUUGAAUUAUUAACCUUAACCCACUAACUUUAUAAUUAUGAGCAGGAAUAGUCCAAAACGCCCCUUAAAACUUUUAACAGAAAUCCGACCGAGUCAGGGUUACGCAACCUGUGACGGCCUGUCGUGCCUGCGGCGGUCCGUCCUGCUGCUUCCGUCACAAAGUUCAGAGACUAAAUUUCAUCAAAGGGUCUUAGACGGUCCGUCGUGCCCACGACGGUCCGUCCUGCCAUUUCGUCACGAAGUUUAGAGAGUUGUUCUCAGCACCCAAUUUUUCAGAAUUCUAAGUGUUUUGGAACGAGACCCCCCUCGACGGUCCGUCGUGCCCAUGACGGUUCGUCGUGGGAUCCGUCGACCCAAACAAUUAUUACCAGAAAUAAACUCUACUGCUCAAAACGGCUAACAGGUCGUUACAAUAGAUACCAAUUUACCCAUCGUUCGUCCCUGAACGAUCACAAGAAGAAAAACAAGGGCGAAAGGAGUACCUGAAUCUGUAAAGAGGUGUGGGUAUUUUUCUUGCAUAUCAGCCUCCUUCUCCCAAUUGGACUCUUCAAUUGGUCGAUUCUUCCAUUGGACCUUGAUGGAUGCAAUCUCCCUUGACCUGAACUUGCAGACUUCUCUAUCUAAAAUGGCAACAGGCUCCUCCUCAUAAGACAAAUUUUCAUCAAGAAGAACUGAAUCCCAACGAAUGAUGUAGUUUCCAUCCCCGUGGUAUCUUUUCAGCAUAGACACAUGAAAUACCGGGUGCACUCCUGAGAGUCCUGGGGGCAAAACUAAUUCAUAAGCUACCUCCCCCACACGCUUCAGAACUUCAAAUGGACCAAUGUACCUCGGACUAAGCUUACCUCGCUUACCAAACCGCAUCACCCCUUUCAUGGGGAAACCUUCAGUAGGACUUGUUCACCCUCCAUAAACUCCAAGUCUCUAACCUUUCGAUCUGCAUAUUCUUUCUGCCUACUUUGAGCCGCUAAAAGCUUUUCUUGAAUGCAUUUCACUUUAUCUAAUGAUUCCCUCAGAAGGUCAGUACCCCAAGGUCUAACCUCAAAUGCAUCAAACCACCCAAUGGGCGACCUACAUCUUCUCCCAUACAGUGCCUCAAAUGGGGCCAUAUCAAUACUUGAGUGAUAGAUAUUGUUGUAUGAGAAUUCUGCUAAGGGUAAGAAGUUAUCCCAAUGACCACCAAAUUCUAUCACACAUGCACGAAGCAUAUCCUCCAAAACCUGAAUCGUUCGCUCAGACUGACCAUCGGUCUGAGGGUGAAAUGCAGUACUAAGAUCAUACCUAGUACCUAAUUCAGCAUGCAAUGUUUUCCAAAACAUAGAAGUAAACUGUGUACCCCUAUCUGAUAUAAUGGAAAGUGGAACUCCAUGCAAUCGAACAAUUUCUGAGAUGUAAAGUUUGGCUAACUUCUCUGCAUUAUAAGUCACCUUGACCGGAAUGAAGUGAGCGGACUUAAUUAACCUAUCAACAAUUACCCAAAUAGAGUCAUACUUACCCAUUGUCUUUGGAAGACCAACCACGAAGUCCAUUUCAAUUCUCUCCCACUUCCAUUCAGGAAUGGGCAUUCUCUGAAGUGUCCCUCCAGGCCUCUGGUGUUCAUACUUUACCUACUGACAAUUCGGGCAUUGAGCAACAAAAUCAACAAUGUCACGCUUCAUCCUACUCCACCAAAAAUGUUGCUUUAGAUCACGAUAAAUCUUGGUUGCACCAGGAUGUAUAGAAUACUUUGAACUAUGAGCCUCUGUAAGAAUAGUGUGAAUCAAAUCAUCGGCGCGGGGUACAUAUACCCUUCCCUUAAUCCUCAAAACACCUUCCUCAUAGAUUUUUGCUUCUUUAGCCUCUCCUCGCAAUACCUUAUCUCGAAUCCGGAUCAGUUUCUCAUCAGUAAACUGCUUUCCCUUAAUCUUAUCAAGAAAGGAAGAUCUUGCCUCCACACAGGCUAAAAAUCCUCCCUUCUCAUUUACUUCUAGCCUCAUAAAGUCAUUAGCCAGAGUCUGAACCUCUCUAGCCAAUGGGCGUCUAGAAACCUGCAAGUGAGCUAGACUUCCCAUGCUCCCUUCCUUUCUACUUAACGCAUCCGCCACCACAUUAGCCUUUCCCGGAUGAUACAAGAUAGUGAUAUCAUAGUCCUUCAGUAGUUCCAUCCAUCUCCUCUGUCUCAAAUUCAAAUCUUUCUGAGUAAAGACAUACUAUAAACUACGAUGAUCCGUAUAGACUUCACACUUAACCCCAUAUAGAUAAUGCCUCCAUUGCUUUAAUGCAAAUACUACUGCCGCUAACUCCAAAUCGUGGAUUGGAUAAUUACGUUCAUGCACUUUUAAUUGUCUCGAGGCAUAAGCAAUUACAUUAUUCUCUUGCAUUAGCACUGCACCCAAACCAGAAUAGGAUGCAUCACAGUAAACAAUGAAAUUCUUACCUUCCACUGGCAGGGUAAGAAUUGGUGCAGUAGUCAACAAAGUCUUGAGCUUCUGAAAGCGUUCUUCACACUCGUCCGACCAUACAAAUGGAACACUCUGCUUAGUCAAGUUUGUCAAUUAGGAAGCAACGGAAAAAAAUCCCUUGACAAAUCGACCAUAGUAGCUAGCUAAACCAACGAAGCUCCUUACCUCUAUAACAUUAGUAGGUCUUACCCAAUUCUUCACUGCUUCAAUCUUGGAAGGAUCCACCAUCACUCCGUCCUUAGAAACUACGUGCCCUAAGAAGGACACUGAAUCUAGCCAAAACUCACACUUAGAGAAUUUGGCAUAAAGCUUUUUCUCCCUCAACAUUUCCAAUACCAUUCUCAAGUGCUCCUCAUGUUCUUUCUUGCUCUUCGAGUAUACCAGUAUGUCAUCAAUGAAAACAAUGACGAAGAGAUAUAGAUAUGGCUUAAAAAUCCCGUUCAUCAAGCUCAUGAAAGCAGCAAGGGCAUUCGUAAGCCCAAAAGACAUUACUAAGAACUCAUAAUGCCCAUACCUGGUCCGAAAAGCAGUCUUGGGCACAUCCGUUGCCCGUAUUUUUAAUUGAUGAUAACCAGAUCUCAAAUCGAUUUUUGAGAAGGUACAAGCACCUUGUAACUGAUCGAACAAAUCAUCGAUGCGAGGAAGAGGAUACUUGUUCUUAACAGUUACCUUAUUCAGUUGUCUGUAGUCAAUGCACAUCCGAAAACUUCCAUCCUUCUUCUUCACAAACAGAACAGGAGCACCCCAAGGGGAUGCACUUGGUCUAAUAAAGCCUUUGCUUAACAACUCUUGAAGUUGGGCCUUUAACUCUCUUAACUCAGCGGGAGCCAUCCCAUAAGGGGGGUAUGGAAAUGGGGCGAGUACCCGGCUCCAGAUCAAUGCAAAAGUCAAUAUCCCUAUCCGGUGGCAUACCAGGAAGGUCUGCAGGAAACACAUCCAGAAACUCACGGACUAUCGAAACAGACUCCAUUGAAGGUACAUGGGUAGUAUUGUCCCUGAGGUGUGCCAAGAAAGCUAAACAACCCUUUCUAACCAUUCUCUUAGCACGAAGGAAGGAGAUGAUACAAACUGGAGUGGAAGUGUAGUCACCCUUGAAGAUUGGAGGUUUCAAUUUCAAGAACUUACUAAAAGUUCAUGCUGAUCACUUGUCAUUAUAGGCCCUGUAGUCAACCGAGGAAACAUGCCUAUUUCCAAUGAGGCAUCCAUGCGGGGAGCCACAGCAGCUGCAUGUUGUACUCCCGGAACCUGAGGUGCUGGUGCAGAGAACACAGGAGGUGUCUGGCCCUGAUCAGAUAACCCGCUAAGAUAAGCAAGAACCUGAUUAAUCAUCUCUGGGGUAGGUUGGGGUGGUAAUUCCUCAUUCUGCACUUGCUCAUUAUCCCCUUCCUCCCCCUCUCUUACUACUUCCUCAGUCGGUAGAGGAGUCACCGCCAUAGUACUAGAUGGGCCAGGUGCUUGUCCUCUUCCUCUAGAGGACGUCCUCCCGCGACCUCUACCACGGCCUCUUGCCACUGCUCCUCUUCGAGCUACAGCCCCAGUGGCUGGCUCAGACGCAUCUUGUCUUGCCGGUGUUGGUGUUGGCGCAGUUGUUGCUCUAAUUCUAACCAUUUGCGAAAUAGAGUGAAGAUGGUCAGAUACCAAUUUGUAUCACCUAGAUACCAAUUGGCUCCAAGUAAUAGGACGAAGGUAGAAAGAAUGGAAUUUUCCUAAAGUCUUGUAGUCUCUCAAAGAAAAGUAAAGGCGUCCCCCUACCGUUCCUCAAGACUCUACUAGACUCGUUCUUGUGUGAUGAGACCAACGAACCUAAUGCUCUGAUACCAAGUUUGUCACGACCCAAAACGAGUCGCGAGUGGCACCCACACGUAUCCUACUAUGUAAGCGAACCAACCAUUCUAAACCCCAACAUUUCAACCAUAUUAAACAGAAAAUAAUGCGGAAGACUUAAAGCUCAUUAACGAAAUCAAUUAAUAACUUCUUAAAUUCUAUACUUAUCAUUCCCCAAAAUUUGGAAGUCAUCAUCACAAGAACAUCUAUCCUCAAUUUACUAAAUCUAAGAAUGUCUAGGAAGCUAAAACAAAUACAAGAGAUAGUCCAUGUACGAACUUCAAGGACAUCAAGACAUGAAUGAGAGAGAAUCCAGUCCGAGCUAGGAACAAUAGCUCACUCUGAAAUCUGACGUGGUGAAGACUUGCUAGAGUUGCGGUUGAGUUGAAGACGACGGUACGUUUGCUGCACUCCACAAAUAACAAAGAGAAAACAUACAAGUAGGGGUUAGUACAAAACACAAGUACUGAGUAGAUAUCAUCGGCCAACUCAAAAUAGAAAGCAAUAUAUAUCAGAUAAUAACAUAAAACCAACCACAUACUUAACAAGUGACAACAACAACCAGUACCAUCACCAUGUGCCACAACCCAAGCACAUUUAUGAGGACUCAAGCCUCCAUACCAUACUCAUUUAGGAAUUAGGUUCAUUAAAUCUGAGUAUAUUAGCAUAAUUCAAGAUUCAUUCUCUUUACUAUCCUGGUGUCGGAACGUGACAUUCCGAUUCUCCUCAUACUAUCCUGGUGUCGGAACAUGACACCCGAUCCACUACUACUAUCAUGGUGUCGAAACGUGACACCAGAUCCAUUAAUACUAUCCUGGUAUCGGAACGUGACACCCGAUCCAUUAAUACUAUCCUGGUGCUGGAACAUGACACCCGAUCCAUUUAUACUAUCCUGGUGCCGGAACGUGACACCCGAUCCAUUUAUACUAUCCUGGUGCCGGAACGUGACACCCGAUCCAUUUAUACUAUCCUGGUGCCGGAACGUGACACCCGAUCCAUUUAUACUAUCCUGGUGCCGGAACGUGACACCCGAUCCCCUAACCUCAUUAUUUUAGUUCAUCAAGCCUUCUUUUAUACCAAGGCAUCAUCAUUAACAAAGAGGUUUUAAGAUUUAAGAUUCAACGCCUCAUCAUGCUUAUUUUAUCACAAUUAUAUAAUCACAACAUACAAGCACACAAUUAAGCAUAUAGAAGACGUUACAAUACUACCCAACACAUAUCAUUCGCUAUUAAAAGUUUACUAUGAAAUAGCAUAAACCAUAACCUACCUCCACCGAAGAAUUGUGAUCACGCAAUCUACUUUGUCAAUGCUUUGCUUUCCUCUUCGUUCUUCUCUUUCUCUCGCUCGUCUCUCCCUUCCUCUCUCUGUUUUUUCUAUAUUUUCCUUAUUCAAACCCUUUUUCUUUUACCCUAAUUACCAUAUAAUUAAGUAUAAAAGAUGCUAAAAGUAACCCACUAUUUAUUCCAAGGUUAUCUCCUUUAACACCCAAGUGAUUGAAUUAUUAACCUUAACCCACUAACUUUAUAAUUAUGAGCAGGAAUAGUCCAAAACGCCCCUUAAAACUUUUAACAGAAUUCCGACCUAGUCAGGGUUACGCAACCUGUGACGGUCUGUCGUGCCUGCGACGGUCCGUUCUGCUGCUUCCGUCACAAAGUUCAGAGACUAAAUUUCAUCAAAGGGUCUGUGACGGUCCGUCGUGCCCACGACGGUCCGUCCUGCCAUGUCGUCACGAAAUUCAGAGAGUUGUUCUCAGUACCCAAUUUUUCAGAAUUCUAAGUGUUUUGGAACGAGACCCCCUCGACUGUCCGUCAUGCCCAUGACGGUCCGUCGUGGGAUCCGUCGACCCAAACAGUUAUUACCAGAAAUAAACUCUACUGCUCAAAACGACUAACAGGUCGUUACAGUAAUGACUUGAAACUAAGAGGCUAGUCUUAAUCAUUCAAAGGACGACGAUGUCGGUUACGUCUAGGGGGUAAACACGAAUGUGACAAUAUGACUGUAUUGUUGUCACAAAUAGAUCACAUGCAACAACAUGUUUAUGUUAUAUAUUGCCACAUAUGACUUUUUUGUUACGAAAUGUAAGUCAUUUGUUGUUACAUAUAAUUAUUUUGUUGCGAUUGAAAUUAUCUUUUUGUUGCUACAUAUAACAUAAAUAUGUUGCUAUAUGUGAUUUAUUUGUCACAAAAGAACAGUCAUAUGUAGCAACAUAUAACUAUUCUGUUGCGAUUGAAAUAACAUUUUUGUUGCUACAUAUGGCUAUAUUAUUUUACAAUAGUCAAAUGUUGCAACAUAUAUAGUCAUAUGUUGGAAACACGAAUACAAAUUAUUGAAAAUAUUGCAAGUACCCAGAUCAGAUGAUGAUGAAUAAUUUAAAACAACUAUUGAUUUUACUUACUAGAACAAUGGUGUGUGACUCAAUCGCUUAUGAAGUAAUUCCAAUUGAUACAGAACGAAAUUUGGUCCACUAACUAUAGAUUAACUAAAUCUAAUUCAAGAAGAAAGUUGAAGCACUAGCAGCCAAGUCCCACAAUAUACGAAAAGAAGAAGAAGAUAAAGAGCAAGCAAACAAAGAGGAGAGCAGAAGAAGAAGAGGAGGAGGAGGAAGAUGAGGAGGAGGAGGAGAGGAGAAAUACGACGGAUGGAGGCUGGGGAAAUAUUUUUUAUUUCCCGUUUUGGCUAGAUGGUGGCUUCCUUUUCCCACCGAAUUUGGUUAAAUUAGGUCUGCUUUAGUCAAUUUAUCCUAUAAAUUCCCACAAAAAUUGAUCAAAUUAGAUUUUAACUAAUUUGUUCUUUUACCUUUCAUUUAAUUCAACGGAUCAAACUGUAAACUUGGGCAACGCAACGUCACCUUUCUAAAAAAAUUCCGAAGUUAAUGAGUGUCCCUUUAGAAUAAUGGGGUUUUAGAUUGGGCGGAUGAUAAUGAUUAAUUACUUUAUUGUAUUUUUUCUAAGUAAUGUGAUGAGAAGAUAGUGUGUAAAUUAGUAGUUUGUGAUAA
rnacentral:lncRNA from 1 species